GAUAUUUUUUUUUUUUUUUUUUUUUUUUUUUUUUGUGUUUGCCAACUGAUUCAUUGAAUAAAAAAGACUAAUGGUUUUGUCUUGAUAUACAAAAAUAGAAAAUGGAUUGGAACGUUUCAACUCUGAGAUUAAGAAAUACUUGACCACAGCUAAUUAGUGAAAACAACAAUUAAUGGCACAUCUUAAUCACAUUAUCUCAAAUUACUUUUUUAAGGAAAACAAAGCUGGCCUAAUUUCAACAUCUUGCUUUGCAAUUCUUAGCUCUUUUCUCUUUUUAAUAAUUAAUAAUAAUCUCUUCUGUUUUUUUUUUAAAAUAAUAAUAAAUUAAUUAAUUAUCUGAAGUUACGGUCACGUGUACUUUUAAUUUCUUGUUGAAAAUAAAUUAUCCAAUAUUUAUACCUAUUUUCCUCAAGAAUUAUGAGGUGAGCCCUUAUAGUCAGCUAUUAUGUUUUUGAAGUUGUAAAAAGAUUUAAUUUAAUUGCUGAAAUUAGUAAUGGAUUUAAUUCUUCAAAAUGCAUUUAAACUAGGAAUAAAAAGAUAGAGGUAUGAGGUUCAAAUUCCAAUAUUUUUGAUCCGUUCAUUUGACCUAGUAUUUUCGACGAAACGUAAAUUUAUGUGCAAAAAUUUCACUUAUGUGGAUCUCAAACGUCCAUAAUUAAUUUAAAAAUAUAAUAGGUUCGUGAAUGUUUAAAAGAAUUAAUAUUGAACGUCCAUUGAUCAUAAAUUUUGAAAUCUUGAAAAAACUGAUAUAUGUGUUGAUAGAAAAUAAACACGUAAACUAAUUGAGGUACACAGUUGACCAGAUUAUGUGGAGAAUAUAUUUUGCUCCCUCGUGACUUUUUGGGUUAUUGUCGAGUGAAGUUUAAAGUCAUGAUAACUUUGGUAAUUAGCACGUGAAUAAUUUAUUAUUAUUUUUAUUUUAGUUUAUUUGUUUGAUUUUAAGUUGAUACGAAAUAUAAGAAAAUAAAAAGAUUUUUGAAUUUUAUGAUCUUACAUUAAAAAUACUUAUAAUAACGUAUUAAAAUAUUUUAAAAUCUUAAGAUCUUAAAUAUGUCAAGUAAAAUUCCUUACUUAGCUGGAGGUGCUGGUGCCACCUAAACAUUAGGCAAACGUCUGAUUAUUUAAAUUAAAAAGUUGCCAAGAAAAAGGGGGAAAUAUAUUUUAAAAUGAAAUAAAAAUAAAAUAAAAUAAAUAAAUCGAAACGAACUAAGCAUUAGCAAAGAGUGACUUCCACCAAAUUGUAUUCGAAAAACAUGGACAUCAAAGGUAUAAAUGUAGAAACAUAUAAGUUUUCUUUUAUUAAAUUAAUACAAAUAUAAAUACGAUGACUAUACAACUGGAAUUAACCAAAAGGACUUUAAACAUUUUAUCGAAAAUAAUCCUCUAUUUUUAUAAGCUUGGGACAAAGUUGCAAUGUUGCAUACACGCUUAACGCUACAUAUACUCUCUCUACACUCAUAUAUGUAUAGUGACAAUACAAAUGGAAUUAACUAAAAGGACUUUGAAAUAAUUUAUCAGAAAUAAUCUCUCUAUUUUUAUAAAUACGAACAAAGUUACAUACAGAUUACGUAUAUUUUCUCCAGACUCCACUUAUAAAAUUAUAUUGUAUAAGACUUGAAUGGUAUUUACACAAACCCAAUAAAUAUUACUCCAAUAUCCACAUAUAUCUUCUACUACAUACAAUCUAUAUAAAAUCAAAAUUAUUUUUUAGAUAUAUAUUUUAGAAAUUUUAUUUCGUGUAUUUAUUUUACUUUUUUUUUAGUGAAAAUGAUGGCUCCGUCAUAUGAGGGGGGUAGGAAUACAUGCCAAACUAACUAACCAAAAGGUUUGGUAAUAUAAUUACGUGUAUAUUUGGUGUAUAAUUACGAUGCAAAACAGAAAAGAAAAAAAAAUACAGAAUAAAAGGGCCAUGCAAUUGUGACUUACUUUAAUUCUGUUAAGAGAGUGAGCAAAUUAUGCUUUUCUUGUGGCGUAAUAUCUGCAAUAGAUGAUUAUAGCCUUUAAUUUUGUCUUUUAAAACUUCUCCCCAUCAACUUCAUAUCACUAACAAAUACCCCGCCACUCGCCAGACGUGGUGUAGUAGAUGAGACUAGUCUUUCAUUAAUUAGAGGUCUCGGAUUCUCAGUUCGAAUUUUGGAUAUGAAAAAGUCCAUAGUAAGGAGUAUUAUAUUUCGAAUGGGUCUUUCCAAUGCGAAUUCGAAUUAGUUGGGUUUUAAUAUGAGUAUUAAACAUUAAAUGGAAAAAAUACAACAACAAAUACCCCUCUUUUUGCAAAACUAGACAUUGACAUCCCUGCUUUCUUGUUACUCUUAAUUCUCAUAUAUCCGGCCUCUCACCAUCGAUGGGCGUGGUGUAAUAGAUAAAACUACUUAAUUUUCUAUUAAUUAGAGGAUUCAAUCAGUUUUAAGUCUUGAAUAUGAAAAAGUUCAUAGUAAGGAGUGCUAUAUCCCGAUUUUGUCCGACGCGAAUCUGAAUUAGUCGGACUUUAAUAUGAAUAACCGUACUAAAUAGGAAAAGGAAAAAACAAAUAGCCCUCCUUUUUUGCAAAACUAGACAUUGACAUCCCCUCUUUCUUGUUACUCUUAAUUUUCAUAUACAUAAUUAUGUUGCUCUCCAUUUACCUUUUACUACAAAUUAUAUAUAUUGUGAACAACUAUAUGUUACUUUAAAAAAGGUUUUAUCUCAUCGUAAAUGUUAAUAUUUAUAAAAAUAUCUUCAUUAUAAAGCAACAACACCAAAAAUUGAUCGUGCUAGAAUAAUGAAAAUUCCGUAAUUAACCAAAACUUCAUGUGAACUCGUCCGAUCAUAUUGGAAAAAAAUUGUGUGUGUGGUAAUCAUUCGAUAUCUGAUAUUCAUCAGAUUAAUUAAUUCAGAUUCGCACGAAAUAUGAAGUGAUUUGAUAUUAUAGUUCUUUAAUUUAUAAAUUUAUUUUUAAUUAAUUAUAUAUUCUUUUAACCAGAGAUUAUUAUUUAACACAUAAAUGAUCUUCAUUUUUACAUGCAAGAGAUUAAAAAAUGUCAUUUUCCUUGCUUAUUUUGUUAGUGGUCAUAAAAGAUGAUUUCCAUCUAAAAGAAAAAGGAUAGAAUUAAGUAAAGGAGAAAUGCUAGAGCCUAAUUAUUUACAUGCAAUUAUCAUGUAGUAUUAAAUAUGUAUCAUCAACGAAAGAAAUAAAGAGAUUAAGACGAACAAAUUAUUUAGUUUAUCUAGCUCAAAGAUAUUCUUUAACUUGAUGAGAUGUAUUUAUUUGUUUUUGGCCAAGUCCGCACAUUUUUUUCUAAAAGGUCUCAUAUUAUUAGGAUUAUUCACAUUAUGUGGGAGAUAAUCUUUUCAACGAACGUAUCAAUGUAGAAUUUUUUCCGUAAAUCAAUAAUCUAUCCUUGUGAUACUAGAUUAUAGACACUGAAACUCAAAAUUAGCUUUAUUUUGUGCGCAUGCAUCUCCAAGCUAUCUUUGACAUGAUAAAGAUCAUAAUGAAUCAAACUGCCUCACAUCACCACUUUAUCAUGUCCUUACUCAUUUCAACAAACCAUUAGCUCUAAUAUCAUUUGUUAGGCUAAAUUACUAGUCCAAAAUAUUCUUACUUGUAUGUGAUAACUUAAUAAACUUAAAUCAAGACAUUUUUUUCAAGAAAAGGAUCGGACACCUAUAUAAAUAGUAUAAAUAAAUAGUUAAUCAAUUCACAACUUGCUAGUACUAACUUAUAUUUGUAAUUAAAUAAAUAAAAAAAGAGGAGAAAAUGUGGCAAGUAGUACAAAGAGCACAUGCAUAGUAUAAUUCACAUAUCAUUUAUUUUCCACACAGAGAAUACACAAAAGGGCAAGUUAGGUUAUCCCUAUAAUAAAGAAAUUGAUAGAUACCAUAUUUUUCAUAAGUUACAAGUACUACGUUUGACUCAUAGCUUAUGUAACCCACAUGCAAGGCUUUGAAUAUAUGUAUUUUAAUCUAUCACGUUUUAAAAAUUUACAAUAUGCUUUUCUCUUAUAUAUAAUUAAACAUGUAUUCUAUCUUUUUCCGACUAAAUUUGUAUGAUCAAAGGCGGAUCUAUGUAGACCGGAGGGGAUUCCACGCCACCCGAUAGUCUCGGUUGAAAUUCUGUAAAUACAUGUUUAGUGUGUGUAUAUAUAUAUAUAUUUAUUUAUUUAUUUAUUUAUUUAUUUAUUUAUUUAUUUAUAAGGAAAUGUAUAAAUAUUAAGCAUGACACCCUUAAAAAUAACAAGAGUUUUGGUGCAUGGGUUAAAGCUCAUGUUUACCGAAUUAAGUAUUGUCUUGUUCUAUGCUGGAGUUUUUGAUAUCGGUUACAAAUCAAAGCAACAUGGCACCCGGAGUUUCAAAAUUCUAAAUUCGUCUCUACUUAUGAUUACACUGAAUUUGUUGUUGUUGUUGUUGUUAUUAUUAUUAUUAUUAUGAUAUGGUUUCCUUAAAUUGAUAACGAAUGUGACACUCAUAAAUUUCAUAAAUUUAAUUUAUAUAUGUAAUGACCUUCACUAUCAACAAACCAUGCAUGCGCACAUUCCUAUUCUUAUUUUUUAAUUCUCACAUAAUUCAUAUGUCAUAACUCAAUGAGUGCUUCUUUAUUAAAUGUGGUAAUUUCUUUUUCUUCUUUUUGAUACUUUUUAACAAACCAGAAAUCAAAGUAAAAUAAAGAGUAAAUUGCACUCAAUAUAGCAUAAUUUCACACUCCACUGUAAAAUUUACUUUUUAACUUUCCAUUUCCCAUUAAUGUUAUAAGUCUCACAUUAUCCUAACAAGUUUAAGUUAUAUAAAUUAUUAAUGUAAGAAAUAAUUUAAAUUAUCACAUCCUCUUUACUUGUUAUAUCAUAUAAUUUGUCUUAUAUUUAAGCAUAUAUAAAUCUCACAUUUGAGGUACAUCCCUUUUCCAGCUCUUACUUAAAUAAAUAAUAUUUCAUAUAUCAAACUGACAAAUUUUUCUAAUUUUAUUCCACGCAAUAUGAUACUCAAAUGUGGAGUAUAAUCAAUCAAUAUUAGUGGUUUCAGGCUACGACGUUGUCACUUGUCAAUAUUACAUCCUUUUGAAGUGAGACCCUUUUCGAAUUCCAAAUAAAUGUAAAAUUGUUGUAUUUUAAUUUGAGGUGAGAAUCAUGAAAAAAUAGUGUUUUUUGUCCUUUAGUGUUAGGCAAGCAUGGCCAGGAAGUACCAACAAUUAUCAUUUGACUUCAAAAGUCCUUUUGCUUCGUAAGCUAUGACAUAAGAAAAUUAAAUCCCAUUCAUUAAGAAAAUCAAUUAUAUAUGCCUAAUAGAUUUAAAAGUUUACGCUAUGUAUGUAAUUUAACAAGUUAUUUUUCAAUUAUAAAUAGUUACAUUGUUAUUGUAGGUAACUUAAUGUGAUAGCGUAAAAAAUAUUUAACUUAACCUCAUGAUUUAUGAGGUUUUUCUUAUUUUUAAUUUAUGUGGAUUUAACUUCGUGAGCUAAUCAACAUUUUACAAGUAGCAUAUUGGAUAAUAGUAGACGUGUCAUAGCCAAUAAUAAGGCAACUUUCCUAGCCUUAUAUAUAUAUAUAUAUAUUUAAUUUUAUUUAUUGAUUAUUAUUUUCUUGGAACCAACUUGAUUACCUCAUGGUUCAUGGGCAGUAUAGGUUAUGGGAUCGUUUUAAGCGCGGCCUGUUGGUUUAAGUUAUAUAUACUGAUCAUAAUACAUGUAUUUUCUUAUACUAUUAAUAUAUUUUAACGUGUGAUAUCAUGUUUAUUACUAUUGUUAUGAGAUCACAAAUUAUUAAUUGCUUAUUAAGAGACUUAUAUGUGUAAAUUAUCCAAUAACUAAUAUGAUUGUCUAAAUAUUUUGUAUACAUGAUAAACUCAUUCUGCCAUUGUACAUAACUUAAAUUCUAUCGCAUCACUCUUGUUCUUACUAUUGAUGAUAUACAUGGAUCUGAUAUUUGUCUGAAAAUGACCACUCUUUUGACUAUUAGCUCAUAUAGUUAGUAAUUUAGCACCCUUUAUCUCAUAAUGUGUUUUCUCAAACUUUUAUUUAGUGAGGCAUAACUUAAUAUGAGAUAUUAUAUAUAAUACGAAAAAUAUUAUUUUAUGUCCCAUAAAAAAGUCAAGUAUUCAUUACAAGGAACAAAAAUUAAAGACUAAUACCUGAUGGCCUAUGAAAAAAAAUCAUAAUCACUUUUAUAAUGAUCGAGUGACAUUAAAUAAAGACAAAAGUGUAAGUGAUCCAAUGUUAAAUUACUAAAAGAUAUUGUUGAUUUAGCCAUUGAGAGGACAACAGUCUAACAAGCAAUAUAGUAAAUAUUUUUAUGAUUUGUAUUUUUGUGUGGUGGGACUACUAAUCAACUUUUUAGUACAGUUGGUAUCUUGAAUUUGGUUAAAGACAAAAUUGCUGAUGUUCAAGUGGGAAAUUGGAGGCUCACUUGAUUAUUCCGAAUUUUUCGUAAGUGAUAUUUUAUAAUAACGCUUGAAAUAAGGUAUAUUUGAAAUUUUCGUAAAUAAUAUACUGUAUAACACUGCUUGGGAUAUGAUAUAUUUGCCACUAGUACAACAUGAAUUGACAUGAAAUUAAUGUUAACUAGAUUGAUGAAGAAGUAUGCAUUUUGACCCCACUAGGAGUUAAUAAAUUGAGUACUAUGAAUACAACUAAUCGAUCAUGUAGACAUUUUUUACGUUUAGUAGAUUAAUUUUGCCGAUCAAUUCGUGAUGAAUUCAGAAUUUAGAUACGAUGUAUUUUGAAUUGAGAAAUCGAAGUUUGUAGUAUAUAUCUAAUCCUAUUUAUUUAUAUAUAUUUGUUUUAUAUGAAUGCACAUGCAUGUAUAAUAUAAGUCAAUUUCAAAUUAAACACAAUUCAUAGUCGAUCCGUUACAGUUAAAAUUAUCAAUAGUUAUCUUUUAAUUUCUAUAUGCGCAUAGACAUAUAUAUAAAUUAUGAAAAUUGAUUAGUAAACGUUAUUUUUGAUCGAAUCAAAAGUUUUAUAUGGGGCCUAAGUCCUAACCAUAUUCCCACAAUUUUCUCCAUUUCUGAUCUCUUCUUAUAUCUCUUUCGAUAUAUUCUUUGCACCCUGACCCAUACACAGUUUUUGCCAAAUAGCUGUCACUUGUUUUUCUAUUUAAAAUUAGGGGUAUAUAUUUAAUGAUAACGGCGGAUAUAUUUAAAUUAUUUUCGAUAGUACAUUAAUAUAUUUAGCAUAUUUUUUUGCAUAAAAUUAUAUUAAAAUCUUGUACAUAUACCCCAGCAAUAUUUACCAACUAUUUAGACAGCAGAAUUGAUUAAAAGAUGAGGAUGGAGAAGAAAGGAUAACAAUAACAUAUAUUUUGAUUGAACUAGUGAGAAAAGUAAAAAUAUUAAUUAUACAAAGAAAGUUAGAAAAUAUUUCAUUAUUUCAACGAUAAUUUAUUUUUCAAGAUAUAUUUUCUCAGUAAGAUGAUUCGAUGAAAAGUCAAUAAAAAAAUAUGUUCUUAUAAAUUUUUCACUAAUAUACUGUGGAAGAAAUCUUUAUUUCUGUUAAGACUAUAAGAUUUGUGGUAGUAGAAAGUCAUGAAAUGAUAAAAGUAGUCCUUGACGUACAAUAUCACUAAAUAGUCAAAAAGGUCACUAAGUUUGAUAUUAUAGUUAUUAUUUAUUUUAUUUUAUUUUUAGCUUUUUGCACGUCUAUUAAAUAAAAACUACUUUAAUAAGAUAUUAUAAAUAUAAGUAUUGACUAUAUUAACUUUAUCUCUUCUCAAAUUUACUCAUGAAAAAUUGUAAAUACUUAUUAUAAGUUUGUGUUAUUUUAUUUAUUAGACAAAGAUAAUUUUGAGAAAAACUUGAGAUUUUCUUGUUUUCGUUAAAAAAAAAUAUCCCUAUGUUGGAUCUAUUAAUGAAAAAACUAAAAAAGAAGAAAAGGAUGAAUGGAGUAUUUAUUUAUGAGAAAUAUGAACAUACUCUUGACUUUAUAAAUUUUGUUCUUUGACGUAGCUAGUAGAUGAUACAAAGCGGAUAGUGAGAAUUGAGAACAUUAACGAAGUUUUAUAGUGUAGUACUGAUAAAUAAUUCUUUAUUCUAAUUUUUAGGUUUGAGCACUAGUAUGAAAUCAUAUUGUUAAGAAUCGAAUAAUUUGUCCUUAGUGUAUAUAAAACUUUUCAAUACCUAAUACGGACAUGAAAUUGUUAGAUAUCUAAUAUGAAUAUCGAUCAUCAGAUGAAAAAAUAACCGAAAGUGAUCUCCCUAUAUAAUCAAGUCAUAUGCAAAUCUUGCUAUUUGAAAAACACUUGAUUUGAUACGAAAUGUGAAACGAAAAGACAAAACGAAAAACAAAAAAAGAUCCUCAUUUUAGACUAAGAUAUGCUCCAAGUUUCACUUUCAGAUAAAAUGGAGAGAGGCAUUAAAAGUGAAAUGAAUCCCUCAGUCAUUGCUAUUAAAAAAGUAUUUUUGAUCGGACGUGAGUGAAUGGGGUUGUUCCUUCUUUAACUAAAGAUUUCAGAUUUAAACGCUGAAUAUGACAAAAUCUUUGGUAGGGACUAGGGAGUGCUUCCCCCAAAUGGAAUCCUACGCGGUGCAAAUUCAAAAUACUCGAACUCUAAUUUGGGUAUCAAACACCAAAUAAAAAAUAAACAAAUAAAAUAAAAAAUCUUAGAUUUGUUUUGAUAAGGAAUGUGAAAAAAGAGGUCCAUAAAAUUAUCUUUUUGCAUGAAUUCCGUUGACAAAUAAUGAUGCCUUCCAUUCUUUGUUAUUACUAGUGGGAACAAAUUUGAUAUUUAAAUUUAUUGACUCGAUUAAUUUAUUCAUAACACAUAAAGCUUAUUAAAUUAGAGAGGAAUAUACUCCCUAACCGGAAUUUCUUCAAUUUCAACUCUCCUGUAUUUAUUUAUUUUUGUAAUUAAAUUGAUCUGAAUCGAAAAAUCAAGAAAGGAUAAUAAAAAAGUUAUAUAUCGAUAUUUUUGUCUAUUGUACACUUAUUAAUAUUGAUAUCACAAAACGAUAAACCGUAAAUUUGGUGAACAAUUAUAAAAUAAAUUUAAAAUGCAUAUUAAGGAGAUUAAUUUGGACCCCACCAAAAGGAAAAUAUACGGAUUAGCAAACAAAUCAUGUCAUAUUUAAGAUUAAAAGAGCUUCUUAUAUUCAUCCUAAUCAAACUUUUGUUGUUUGCCCAAAUGUUGUCUCAUCUCCAUUGGAUAUUUUAUCAGCCAGGCAAGCCAGAUAUUUGCAUGUUAGCACAAAAAAGCUUCACAUUUUUAUCUUUUCUUUACGAUGAUCGUAUUUUAAUCACUUUGUAUGCAUCUCAAUGAUUCUAACAGAUAUAUAUUUACUAUUAUUUUUUUUAUUUGUGCUUGUAUCAAAUAAAUGUAUUUGUCAACAUUUAACCGUAUUAUUUACUGAAUUUGAACAUUGAUCUUUAAGGUUCGAGACACGAAGAAAGUAAUUGAAUAAGCUUAUUAUAAAUUGAUAAAACUAAUUAAUAAACACUUAGAAUAUUAACUUACAUACAAAUUUGACAACAAUAAAAAAAAAAUUAUAAGCUAAAAUCCUUAUUAGUUAGUCAUUUUCAACUUAUAAUUUUAUAGCUUAUAAAUACUUAUAGUUUAACCAAGUCGAUCUUUUACGAGUUUAAAUCAUUUGUAAUAUCUACAAUACUCAUCCUAAAACAUAAGGUUUAUUUAUUUAUUUCUCUACUUAUAUUAUCGAUUCAUCAUUUUUUUAAUGCGCUUUAAAAUUUAUACAUUUGAAAAUAUUUUAAGGAUAUUUCGAUCAUUUAAUGUAAAAAACACUUUUCACCAAAUAUAUUAACUUUUUUUUAUUACUCUUAAUUUUUUCAGCACCUAAAAUUACUUUUCGAUAUUUGAUAUUUAUCAGCUAUUUUUAAUCAAUUAAUUCAAACGAAUGGUAAUUUAUUUAUUUUUUGUCUUUUUGAGGUGAUUAAAAGGUUGACAUAUUUUAGAUGAGGAACUUAUCUUGGUAUAGAUUAAAUCAAACUUUAUUUAAAAAAAUUGUUCCCUUCCUAAUAUUUAGAUUAGAGGUGGACCCCAUUUGCCUUCUUUUCAACCUCAUCACGUGUCGAGCUAACCUUAUAUUAUAUAACCAUGCGUGUCGAUUAAUUAAAGGCCUAAUUUUCAGUUCACAAUCGCUUAAUUACGUCAUUGAUAGCUACUAAUCACCUCAUAAAAAUCCACUAACGGAUGUGAUGUUGUAAAUGGAGUUGUUCCUUUUUUUAUUAGAGAUCUCAAGUUUGAACUUUGAGAAUAUGAAAAAAAAAAUUCUAUGUGAGCGCUUUCUCCCAAAUGAGUUCCUACAUGGUGCGAAUAUGAAAUAAUCGAGCUCCAAUAUAUCUACUUGAUACCAAUAGAGAAAAUGAAAAGAAAAAAAAAACUAACUAUAUAUUACAUGGACUACGUUUUUCUAUAAAAUGACAAAUGUACCCCGGUCUUUACAUGGUAUACAGCCAUAGGUUGAGAAUAUUUCUCAUCACAAGUUGUAGCUAUACACAUUAUUUUUAAAUGUUUAAGUAUGAAUUUUAUAUGCUUUAAAGUUGUGUAUACUCGUCCUCUUGAUAAUCUUGAGUGUAUUAUUAUUGUUUUUUAUAUUGUAAAAGUUACUUGCAUGGUAAGAUUAUUAAAAAGUUUAUUAUGAUGUUAUUACUUGCUAGAAAAUAGGGUAAGUGAACGGUUACAACCAAUUGGGGCAUAUAAAAGUGAACGGUCGUAGCUUUUUAGGAUUGGAUUCAUUUAAAUUCAAUAAUUUAGCACAAUGUAUAAAUUUGUGUACAAAAAGCCUCUAAAAUCACAAUAAAUAAUAUGUAUGAUCUUAUAUUUUUUCUACUUUGUAGUAAACAUGUAAUUAUUAUAUUUCUACUUGGUAGAAAAUAGGCUAAGUAAACGAUUACAAUCGAUUAAAACUACUGAUAAUUGUGGGUGGAGACAGGGGCAUAUAAAAGUGAACGGUCGUAGCUUUUUAGAAUUGGAUUCAUUUAAAUUCAAUAAUUUAGCACAGUGUAUAAAUUUGUGUACAAAAAGCCACUAAAAUCACAAUAAAAAAUAUGUAUGAUCUCAUAAUAUUUCUACUUGAUAGAAAAUAGGUAAUUAUUAUAUUUCUACUUGGUAGAAAAUAGGGUCAAUAAACGGUUACAACCGAUUAAAACUAUUAUUACCAUGAGCGUAGUCAGGGGCGUACAAAAGCGGUUGUAUCUUUUCAGUGUCAAAGUUGUUUAAAUUCAAUUUUAGCCCCAUGCAUAAAUUUGUGUAAAAAAAACUUCUAAAAUCGCAAUUAAUAGCAAGUAUGAUUCCAUUUAACAUAAUGAAUUCAAUGUCAAGAACCUUAAAUUUUGUAUCAACAAUUGAUUUUCUAAUUCGCCGAAAAAAGAAAGAAAGAAAAAAAAGUUAAAAUAAUAUAUAUAUAUAUAUAUAUAAUUAUUUUUAAAAUAUUAGUAAUAAAAUCUUGAAUUCCCUUAAAUUUUUCAGAUUUACUUCUUUAAUUUUGAAUUUCCUUAAUUAAAAAAGAAAACGCAACUCCACCGCUAUCAAUGAUGUAAUAUUUAUUUAUUAUUAUCUAAGCACAUCAUCGUCAAUAACAUUUCUAAUAUUAUAACAAGUAAAGUCUGAAAAAGAUUUAAAAAAAAUAUUUUUUUGAUAGACUUGUCUCAAACAAAUAUGAUAUAAGUGAUAGAAUUUUUAAAAAUAGAGUAAGUAGAUACUCUAAUUGGCUAAAUUUUACUAGUACUAGUAGUUUAUUUAUUUUUACAGUACUAAUGUAUAAAAUAAUAAAAAUAAACUAAAAUGUAUACCCCAUAUAAAAAGAAGUUGGGGGGAAGAAGAGCCAAAUAUUAUUAACCAAACCAAUUUCCAGCUGAUUUUCUGUAUUGUUGUACUACUAACUCACAGCACACACACCAUUUCUCUCUCUCCUAAACUUCUAAAUAUCUUUAAGCUGAAUUUUCGUACCAUACAAUUUACUCUUCUUGUUGUUGUUGUUAUUAUUAUUUUAUUAUAUAGUUUUAUAAUCAGCUCGCUCUGAUUAAAUAAAUUUGAAAAUUUAUCAAUUAUUGUGUUAAUGGAGAGUACCGAUUCAUCAACCGGCUCUCAUCAUCAGCCACAAUUGCCACCUGGAUUUCGAUUUCAUCCUACUGAUGAAGAACUUGUUGUUCAUUACCUUAAGAAAAGAGUUGCCUCUGUUCCUCUUCCUGUUUCUAUUAUUGCUGAAGUUGAUCUUUACAAAUUUGAUCCUUGGGAACUACCUGGUAUGUAAUUUUUUUUAUCGUGGUUUAUAGUUUGGUGGUAUCGAUUGAUGUGUGUUUUGUGCGAGUUUUAUUUUCUUCUUUUUCAUGUUAUAAAAUUUUAACGAAUUUUAGAUGUUUGAAAAAAUAAAUAUUCAUACAAUAAGUGUGAGUUUGAUUAUCUCGUUGUUCCACUUUUUUAUUUCUCCUCCCCCUUCUUUUUUUUCAUGUUAUAAAAUGGGAACUUUGAUCUUUUGUGGAGUUUUAAGUGUUUGAGAGUUUUUUCACAUAAUAAGUGUGAAUUCAAAAUUUUGAUUUUUCGAUAAUUUUUUUCAAGUGUUUGAGAAUUUUUCACUCGAUAAGUUUGUGCUUGAUACUCUUGUUGUAUUUCUCCUCUCGUUCUUCUUCUUCUUGAGGUAAUAAAAUGGUGAUUUUGAUUUAUUUUUUUUCGAUUAUUAAGUGUUUGAGAUUUAUUCAAAUAAUAAAUGUGAGUUUAAUUCUUGUCAUUCAUCUUUUAUUUUUUUUCUUCUUCUUUCAUGUAAUAGAAAAAUAUUGAAAAAUUGAAAUGGCAAUUUCGAAAUUUUGAUGACUUUUGAGUGCUUGAGAAUUGAGAUGUUCUAAUUUUGAUUCUCUUCUUCUUGUUCAUUUUUUUUUAUUUCCCGUUUCUUUUUUCUCUUCUUUUCCUAUGUUUAAAAUAGUAACUUUGAAUUUUUUGAUGAUUUUUGAGUGUUUAAGAAUUUUCUUCACACAAUAAGCGUGAAUUUAAUUUGCGUUAUACCUUCUUUUUAUCGCUUUAUCACUUUUUUCCAUCUUAUAUAAUAAAAAGGAUAAAUUUAAAAUAUGUUGGAUACUUUUUCACACAAUAAGCGUGAAUUUUAUUCUCGUUAGUUUUCUUUUUUAUUUCCCUUUCCUUCUUCUCUCAUGUCAUAAAUGACAACUCAAAAUAUUAUAACUUUUUGAGUGUUUGAGAAUUUUUCAGCAUGCAAUAAGUGUGAAUUCGAUUCUCGUUAUUCUCUCUUUCUAUAUUUCCCUUUUCCUUCUCCCAUGGAAUAGAGUUUUUUUUUUAUAAAAGGGUAAUUUUGACGAGUUUUAAGCUGUUUUUCAAUUUUCAUUUUCAGCUAAGGCGACAUUUGGAGAACAAGAAUGGUACUUCUUCAGUCCAAGGGAUAGGAAGUAUCCCAACGGGGCGAGGCCAAAUAGGGCAGCAACGUCCGGUUAUUGGAAAGCUACCGGAACCGACAAGCCGGUGCUCACCGCCGGCGGGACCCAAAAAGUAGGUGUCAAAAAAGCAUUGGUGUUUUAUGGUGGCAAACCACCCAAAGGUGUGAAAACAAAUUGGAUCAUGCAUGAAUAUAGGCUUGCUGACAAUAAAACAAAUAAUAAGCCUCCUGGUUGUGACCUUGCCAAUAAAAAAUCACUAAGGGUAAGUACUUUUUAUUUUUUAUUUUUAUACUUUAUUUUUAAAAAAUUCUUGAAUUUAAUGUUUUCAAAGCACACCAUUUGUUGGAAUAGUAAGUAUUCCUUUUUGUGAUAAUCACAUUAGCAAAUACUCCUAUAUUGGUAAUGUUUGUUUCAAUAUUUUAAAUAUAAUCUUUAAAAUUUGAACAUAAUGCAUUUUGAGUUUUAUCUAUGUUUUUUUAAAUAAAAUAAAAUAAAUAGAUACAAUUAAAUAGUUGUUUAUAUAUUACAUCUCCCUUUAAUAUAGAUGUAUUCAGUGGCGUAACUGACUUGGGUGCAUAUAUUUAAAUCUUGAAUAUUCGUAAUGAAAUAUCUUACCUCGGUACAGAUAUUACGUACCUGAUAUAGCCGCCACACAGAUGGAAGAAUCUAGUUAACAAAAAGAAAAGGAUUUAACAAAAUUGACUUUUGAAAGUAUUACAUUUGAUUGUCUUGAAUUGACUAAUCAAAUUUUUAUUUUUAUUUUUUUAAAUAUGCAGCUAGAUGAUUGGGUUUUAUGUAGGAUUUACAAGAAGAAUAAUACUCAAAGGCCAAUUGAUCAUGAAAGAGAUGAUUUGAAUAUUGAUAUGAUGAUGGGAUCAUCAUCAAUUAAUCCAUCAUAUAUACCAAAUUCAAUGUCAAUGCCAAAUAUAUUUGGUCAACCAAAAAUACCACAACUAAAAUCCUCAAAUUUUGGUACUACAUUACUUCAUGAUCAAAAUCAUGACCAAAAUUUAUUUGAAGGUGGAUCACAAUUUUCUUCAAAAAGGCCACUAGCAAAUUUGUAUUGGAAUGAUCAAGAUGGAGGAGCUAGUAAUGAUAAUUCUCAAUCAACAAAAAGGUUUUUGACGGAGAAUAUGGAAGACGGAUUAAAUAUGAAUGCUCGAGCAGAUGAACACAAUGGAUCUAUUGUAAGUCUUUUGAGUCAACUUCCUCAAACUUCGUCACUCCAUCAACAACAAGUACUAGGGUCUCUUAGUGACGGAGUUUUUCGACAACCUUAUUCGGGCAUGAAUUGGUACUCUUAGAUAUCGAAUUAAAAAAAAGAAGACGAUAUUGUGAAUCAUAUAUUAUUAUACCAUACAAGUUAAAGAUGUUUGAUUAUUACAGGAUCCUAACUAAUUAUUAUCGAUUAACGAGGGUGUUAAAUUAGAUUAGUGGGAUUGCUGGAUUUGGGUAUUGAGAUUUUGUUGGUUUUAAAUUAGAUGAUUUACAGUUUAGUGAAAAAAUAAUAAUAAUUAGGUGAGGACAUGUAUAUUUUUGUUUUAUUAACUGUUUGUUUUUACUUUAUAGUUAUAUAUAUAUAUAAAAAAAAAUACAUACAUCUCCAAGGUUUGUCUGUGAAUAGAGAUGCAUAGAAACAAAUCUUGUAAUUAAUCAUAUAUAUUUUAUAUCUUAUCGGGGAAAAAUAUACUAUGCACAUUUUAUUUUAUUUUUAUUUCUGUUGGCUUGACAUGAAUUUAGUUCGAAAAACAUAAUCAGUAACGAUUUAUCAUUUGUAUAAUUGAUCAUGACUUGUUUAGAAUUGAAACUUAGUUAUUGUUACGAUCAGAAAGAAGAACCAAAUAGAUUACUAAAUUACGUACUAUUUUUUUAAAAUAGAUUCACAAAACCCUAAAGAUUAAUUAAAUUAGAGAUUGUAUUUACUAAUUCUAUAAUUAUUUGAUAAGUAGCUAGUAAGGUAGGUUGCUAAUUUUGAUAAAUAAUUGGUUUUUAAUUUCCAAAAAGAAUAGAAUAUCAUUAAUUAAGUAGUGAAAUUUGCUACCUUAGAAGAAAAGAAAUCUUAUUAAGGGAAAAGAUAAGAAUCAUUUGUUGUUGUGGAAAGCUUAGUAAUUAAUAGUGACAUAUUCUAGAGGGAUCAUACAUUGCAUACAUGACAUGAUUGAUGCAAUUAUUUUAUUUGGAGAGAGAAUCAAACAAAUAGAAAGAUAAUCUCAAUGACUAUUGGAUUAUUGGAUCCAAUAUAAGUAUUAUUUAUUUAAAGAGAAAAAAAAGGAAAAAACAUAAUCCCUUUUCCAUUAAUUAAUUUUGCAUGAUAAUAUUUUUAAUUACAGUGGUGUUCGAAUCAAUUUAUACACACUUCAAUUUUAUAUUAAAUACAUAUUACUCUCUAUCAACGAAGAUACUAAAUAAUUUUGUCGAUCAAAACUAGGUAUAGACAGAAGUAGAUGCAGUUUUUGUUAUAAGUUCAUUUGAACCUAUAAUUUUCGAAGUAUACAUUUAUAUAUUAAAAUCUCAACAAAUAUUAUAUUACAUCAGAGUGUAUAAUUUUAACAACACAAAGAGUUCUGUACUACUUAAGAUAGGAUUAAGACAGACUGCGUACUCACUAACUUUUUCAAAUCAUAGUUCGUAGAAUUACAUUAAAUAUGAUGUACGUUAUUGUUGUGAUGAGUUCGGUGUUAUAAGAAACGUAAUAGUUCGAUUCAUUGAGUUUAAAUUCUAAAUUCAACUCAGGCUACAAAAGGAAAUCACCUAAAUCUUUUGACUUUGUCGAAAUUUAAACCUUCAUCUUUUGACAUGAUAUAUUAAUAAGGAGCUUUUGCUUUUUGUAUUUAGGAGAAACUAAUAAAAUUAUUUGAAUAGGAAAUUCCAUGAUAUAUUGUCUAGAUAUACUUGGGAUGUCAUACUUUUUCUUUGAUUAUAUCUCUACUCAUUUUCUUGGAUUAGAGAUGGGCAAAAGUAUAUUCCAAGAGCUAUAGGUCCUCACAAUAUUGACAACAAGAUGCUACCUCACAAUUACCUUUCUUUCUUUGUUGACUUGGGACCAUUUCACUAUCAUCAAAGGGGAAUCAUUAUCUCCAAAAAAAACAUAUAAUCUUUUCUUUUUUUAAUUAUUAUGUUAAUUGCAUUUCCUUUUCAAGGAAACAUAACAAAACUACUUUAAUAUGAUUUCAUUUCCCUACUUCUUAUUUUAGCAACAUAAUAUUUAAAAAGAAUCCAAAUGCAUGUAUCAAUAUCAUGGCUUCACAUCAUCUAUAUACAACAAGUAUACAUAUAGGUGUGAACACACAUUAUAUUAUAUAUUUCUUUUUUAUCUUUUUACUUGACGUAAGUUCAACGAAAUACUUGAUUUUUAGUAUAUAUAUAUUUUUUGCAUUCCUAAAAUACGUUGUAUCAUACGUACGUAUAUGUAUUGCCAAGUGUACAAAAGAAGAAAAUAAUAUCUUUUACUUGCUAGAUUAAAAUAGUUCAUGUACCUCAAUUUCAAAAUUAUACAUUUAGAGGUUAAGAAAUGCUUUUUUGAGUAAAAUGAAAAAGGGUCUAAAAGAUAUUAUUUAAAUUUUAUUUGCUGAAAAGGGAUGGUCAGUUUGAAUUUAUGACUUCAAUAAAUAUGUUGAAAUUUCUGUUAAGCCCACUUGAAAUGAUAAUACAUUGUCAUAAUCUUUCUCAACUGAUUUUAAUGAUAUUGUGCUGAAUGCACUAUCUUGUUGAUAGAUAGAUAUAUAUGGUAUAUUACUUCCAAAAAAAGGUCUAUUAUUAUUUAUAAUUAUUAAGCCCAUGGCCAAAGAUUAAACAAAUAAUAAUUGCUAGAAUAAUUGAUUGAUUAGACUCCUAAUGUUAGUAGGUUAAAGAAAAUUGACUACAUCAUGGCCUCUUCUACAUGCACUAAUGGUUAAAUAUUUAUUUUCACAUGUUAUUUAUAUCAAAUCAUAUAAAUUUACUAUUUACAAGAUGAUUUAACGAGGUAAGAAAUACAUAAAAGUUUGAUUUUUGUUCAAAUAGUAGUAGUGCCCUUUGGGGGGGGGGGGGGGGUGGGAUCNNNNNNNNNNNNNNNNNNNNNNNNNNNNNNNNNNNNNNNNNNNNNNNNNNNNNNNNNNNNNNNNNNNNNNNNNNNNNNNNNNNNNNNNNNNNNNNNNNNNNNNNNNNNNNNNNNNNNNNNNNNNNNNNNNNNNNNNNNNNNNNNNNNNNNNNNNNNNNNNNNNNNNNNNNNNNNNNNNNNNNNNNNNNNNNNNNNNNNNNNNNNNNNNNNNNNNNNNNNNNNNNNNNNNNNNNNNNNNNNNNNNNNNNNNNNNNNNNNNNNNNNNNNNNNNNNNNNNNNNNNNNNNNNNNNNNNNNNNNNNNNNNNNNNNNNNNNNNNNNNNNNNNNNNNNNNNNNNNNNNNNNNNNNNNNNNNNNNNNNNNNNNNNNNNNNNNNNNNNNNNNNNNNNNNNNNNNNNNNNNNNNNNNNNNNNNNNNNNNNNNNNNNNNNAGGUGGGGGGGCCGUUGGGGGGGGGGGGGUGGGUUGUAUCAUUUAUACUUUUGCUUUUCUUUAAUUUUUACUCUUUAAGAUAAUUUACUUUUUCAUGGUACAUAAAUUUUUAUUUUUUUAUUAUGAUAUUUCAUAAAUCUUGUCUCACGCUUUUAAAGAACUUAUAUCUCGGUGGUUCGCCUCUACUAUCGCUCCUUAUUUUUCUAGUGGUAAAAUAAAAGGGGAGAUGAUAGUGUUAGGUGGUAGGAAGAGCUCAAAAUAAGAGCCUAAAAUUAUGGGAUCUUUAUUUAGCUAAAUUGCUUUUUUAGGUAAAAUCUUAAUAUGUUAGGUAAUUUGAUAAAAAUGUUUAUACUAAUUGCAAGAGCCCAUUUUCAUCACCUAGCGUAAAAAUACCUUUUUUUAAAAUCAAAGUUCUCUCGAAAUUUAAUUCAAUAAAUAAGCCAAAAGAACAUAGAGAGGGGCAGGACCUGACCUCUGUUACGUGAUACUAUGAGUGACAACGUGAUACUAUGAGUGACAAAUACAUCCUUACAAUACAUAAGCCAAAGGAACAUAGAGUGGGGCAAUAGUUGACCUCUGUGUCACGAUACUAUGAGCGAUAAAUACAUAAUUACGCUCUAACUUUUUAAAAGAAAAAACAUAUGUGGUAUUCAUCAUCAUCAUCAUAAAAAAAGUGAACUCUUUGAAAAUGAACUUUCAAAUUGAAAAACUUGAGAAAGAAACUUUGUUGUUGAGCUUAACAAUUCAAAGAUACUCUUAAUAUAAUAUGAUAUUAUCAGCUUUAAAACAAGUCCACACAGAUUUUUUCCAAAAUAGAAGUAUCCAACUUCUUUUCUACUACUUGUAAGUUGUUGCAAUUUUAACAAUAUUCCAAGACGUGAGGGUUGUAGUAUAAUUUCAAGAACUAGAGGGGAUAGCUUUACUAUUAAACAAAAUAUAAGGUAGCUUAAUGCAAUUUCAUUUUUUUGUGAAGAGACAUGUAGAAGAGGUGCUUUAAGUAAGCAUUGCAUCAUUUUUCUUUUGAGCCGAGGGUCUACCUCUCCGUAGAUCUUACCCUCUUCAGACCCCAUUUUGUGAGGUUACAUCAAGUAUGUUGUUGUAUUUUGCAAGUGAAAUGAAAUGUACAAGAGAAGAACAAACAAAGUAUCAGGCUUGAACCACCAGUUCCCUUCAUUCAUAUUUCAUGAUCCUUUAAGACAGUUAAUAUUAUGUUAUAAGCUAUAUACUUCUAUUAUGUAAGUUUCAACAGAAACUUCAGCACCAACAUUAGAGGUCGCGAUUGCACUAUUUUACAAUUACUACAAAAGAAUUUGUGUACAUACGCGGAGGAAAGAGGGCUGCGUGCAGUAUGCAUAAAUUAUAAACGAGUAUCUCAGAGGAUGCUCUCUGAGAGUAUGGUACAGCAAGUAUCUGCAGCUAUAUCACCUCAAAGCUAUGCAUUUCCGCGAAUUUUUGUUGUGUCAUUGCUCUUCCAUUCAUUUACUCCUACAAAACGCAUCAAAUUGAGGUAGCAUGUCAAUACUGACUUCACCAUACAUUCACAUCUUGCAAGUAAGAAGCUAGCUAUUUCACAUACCUGUGGUGGGCUUAUCGAGGGAGGUUGCGCCUCUGCUUCUACGAUCACCUCAGAGACUCUAGAUUCUGAUUUCUCAUUUGAAUAACUAAUAGAUAAAAAAAACAAAUGAAGUCAGAAUAUGAUGCACACCUCGUGUAGUUCCAUUUGCAUUAUUUGGUCAUCAAAGUUUGAAAUAACGUAGGGUACUACAGAUAGGUCCUACCGAUUGGACAAACAAAACAAAUACAAGCAGUAAUAACAUGUAGAUUAACCAUUCAUUAGGAAAUCUAAUUCUCACAGCUGACAGCAAGUCAACAUGAUUAUCCCUGUGCGAAAAGACUAAGCGGAGUGAUUGAUCUACCUGCCUCUAAAUAGUCCAUGGAUAACAUCUUCUUGAAGAAUAGGAAACCUUUGGGAGUUCACAUAUAUACUAAGAGAAUAAAGAUGGACUACCAUCAAUUUCCUUAACUAAGAUAACAUUCAAUGAAAAAACCAUUGGCAAAAUUAACUACCUCGAAAGAAUACGGUGUUGAAUUAUUCAUGCCAUCAUGCUUAUAGUAUUUCCGAAACUGAGUCUUUGAAUACCAUGCACCAAAACAGUAAAAAAUUGUGAUUGAAUUUGGGAUGCUUACGUUGAGAGUAUUGUCACCCAAAUGAGUUCCACACAGUCAACCCAAAGAAGCCUUUGUUCAACCGGAAUUACACCAUAUGUAAUUAGAUGAGCAAAUGGCCACAGCUUCCAACCAGCCUGAAAAUGAGCCACAUAAAGAGAAUCUGUGUUAAAAGGGCAUCCUGAUGCAUGUGUUGCAUGAUAGAAGCAUGAAUGCAAGAAACAACGAAUUAUGAAGGAUGUAAACUACAGGAUACUAUCAUUCAAUCACUUUUCAGAUCUGCACACCAAAUGUCAAUUUAUCAACAGAACAUAGGUUUAAUUUGGACAAGUGAAGUAUUAUGGAGAUUCAAAUGAACACCCUGACAUAGAAAUCUUCUUUGAAAAUGUAAAGUAAUGUUCAACUAUGAAAGAAUUAUGGACCAGAAUAAAUGCCACAAAACUGAAGAGAAAAUGAACAUGAGCCGCACAUUAGCAACUAUGGUCAUGUAAAUAACAUGAUAAAUUCAUAGAUAUGAAAACCAAGAAACAAUAAUGUUAAGAACCACUGCUUGAUGCGGAAUAAGUUCAAUUAUAUAAAGGUGAUACUGUAAUUGAAGUAACAACUAAGAGCAGAAGGUCUUCUUACAGUCAACAUUGGCAAGAAUGUAGCCUUCAAUUCACUGAAAAUGGCAAGAGGGGAUUCAAAACGUAAAAUUCCCAAAACUGUGAAGUAGAUGCUGUUCCAAAUUGCUGACCAAACAGUUUGAUCAAAGGCAACCUUGACAGGAACCACCCACCAAUCUUCGAAAGGAAACAGUGCCUAAUACGAAUCAGAGUGUGUUGCUUAGUCCAGAACAAUUAAAACCUAUAAUUCCACAGCCAUGGAAGUAUGAAACAUUUAAAAAUAGAAGUACCUCACAAAACUGAUAAUAAUAAUGAGAGAGGGAUCCAUGUAGCGUGAAUCCAACUAAGCCUGAUCUCAACAUACGUGCACGAUCGAUUUCAAAAAGAGGCUUCCCUUCAUAGCACUGCAAUUACAGGGAAACUAAUUAAUACCUGUGGUGAAAAAACAAUUUCAAGUGAUUCAUGGCAUUUGCAGAACUUUCUAUUCAAUCCCCACUAACCUGUGCAAUCCAAUCCCCAACAGAGUAAACCACUCCACUGAUAACCAUUUUAGCCAAAACUGGAUUUCUUUUAAGGGCUUCCUCGUAUGCAACCCAGUUGUGCUGAGGUGCAUAUCUCAAUAUCUCAAAUAAGGUCCAUCCCUGAAACAGAAGGAUAAUGAGCUAUAUUCUCCUGGAAAAUAUGUAUUUGAGCUAACAUUACUACAAAUUGCUCCAGAGAGAACUAAUUCCACAAUAAACAAAUAUGUUUCAAUGUGGUGAAAUCCAAGAAUAUAUAACUAUAAGAAAAAAAAUGAUACAAGGGAAAAAACCAAUUAGACUGCAUAGAACUGUUAGAUUCUCCUAUUAGACCAAAAGCAGAUACAAAUAAACAUCAUAACCCAGCCUAUACACAUGUAAAUAACUGCGACAUGAUAUUCAUGAAUAAGCUGCAAAUGAUUUGAAUCACAGAAGACUGACGACAUCAAGAAAUACAGAUCCUUAAUCAAGAACAAAACAUCUACAUGAGGAUUUCCCCCCUUGAACAACAGCAUAGCAGAGAACAUACCAAUCCAAGAGGCACCAAAAUCAAUCGACUUAUAUAUCUAUGUGUGCCCCAGUGUGUGUUUCCACCUAAAUGGAAGGUACUUGGAUACUCAAGCUAUACAUAUUAAACAUAUCUUUUUAGCUUAAGGUGCAAAGAUUUCUCCUUUAUCCUUUUUCAUUGCGUGUAGCCUACUGGUCAAUGAAGUGGAUUGAGAAUCAUGAGGUCUCACAUUCAAAUACUAGCAAGACAAAAACACUACGUGAUUUCUUUUCAUUUAUCGUAGCCUUGGUGGAUAGAGUUAUCUAGUAUGGCAGGGGUGGUCCAUGGUAGUUAUCCCGUGGAAUUGAUCAAGGUACACCAAGCUAAUGAGUUUUUGAGAGACACAAUAUGCAAAUGUUUAUGCUCAGAACAAUCAGCAAGUUAGUUAUUUAUACAACUAGUAACAAGUAACUUACAUGCCAGUAAUCAUGAUCAAUAGUGAGCAAUUUAGUAAUAGCAAAAGAUCCAGCAGCUAACACAAUAGUUGCAUUUAUAGCUCUAUCAAUAAGUUUCUCCACAUCCGACCCACCAACACCACUUGCCGAAGAAAACCCACCAGCACCUUCAAACGAUAACCUCCCUUCAUUUCCAAACCCACCCACCACCUGAUUUACAAUAUCCAUCUCUCCGCCCCCUAAUUCCGGUUCUCUUUCCAAUCCAAUUACGACCCCGUUUUGCUGGUCCGUAACGUCAGUACUUUGAACCGGAAUCACGUCGGCUUCGUUUGUUACCGAACCCACUACAACCCAAUCCCUCAACUGCUGAUUCUGCUGUUUAAGACCUUUGAAUAAGAAUUGAGACUUCAUGGGUUUUGAUAGAGAGAGAAAGGGCUUUGAGUUGGAUUUUUGUAGAGAGAGAAAGGGCUGUGGUGAGGUCAAGCCAUUGAUGGUCGCCAUUGAAAUGGAGAAAUCUUAGAUCAAAGCUCACUUCACCUUCUUUCUCUCUGUUCUAGCUAACAGUAGAACAAAGAAAUUUUUUAUAUGGAAGAAGAUCACUCACGUACUUCGCGUUAUAGGAUAAUUACAAUGAUCCUAUUAAAAACAUGUGACGUAAAUUAUUAAUUUUAUCUUCGAAUUAUGAAUAGCCUUAAAAACAUAGUACUCUUAAUAAAAGUUGGGAUAUUUUACUUAUAUUACAAGAUCGGAGGCAGGUAAAAGAAUAUUUUUAAAUCUGUCAAUAGUUUAGGGAGGAAAAAAAUAAUUCAAACACAAAUUUGGAAAUGUUUUCAAUAAUUUUUUCGUUGGAUUUUAACAAGGUGGUUUUUGAUUGGUUGAUAUGUGGAGGUGCAGGUGAUAAUGGUGGAGCUCACAUGCUCUUUUUCUUAUGUGACUGCGCUAGCCUCAAGCCAAGUAAGAACAAUCAUAACCAAUAAUUGAGCAUACUCUAAAAAUAUGAUAACUUGAUUUUUUUAGUAGUAUUUAUUCUGAUUUCGAAAUAGGAGUAUAUGAAAUGGUUUGUCAUUUUUUUUUUUACUUUUGAUAAAUAAUAAGAUGUAAAAAGUUAUAAAAUUGUGUUCUAAAUAAACUUUAUCAUAGAAUUUGGACCAACUUAACAUAAAUAAACAGAGAAAUUUUAUUUAUAUUACUAAAAUUAAAAGUACUAAGGUAGGGUAUUUUCUUUAAAUUCAUUUAAGGGUGCACGGCUUUGAUCAACUUGGCACUUGGACAGUUGGACUUCUCUAUAUUUUCAUAAAAGUAGGCAAACAACGGAGACCAAAAACAUGAUUUACUUAGACGGGUGAAAGAAGAUAAAGAGAAGUUUCGCAAUAUUGUAAAUUGAUUGGAACAUUAUGAUUAUUAAAAUAAAAUUAGGCAAAGAGAUACCCUAUAGUAUAUAUACUAUAUAAAUUUUUUUAUUUUAAAUUUAUCGAUUUCUUGUGAUGCAUGUUUGUAGGGAAAUAACUUUUUUCAAGACAAUAGAAAAUAUUAAAAGAAAAAGGAAAAUAACGUUCUUGGAGUGUUGUAGAUUGAUUGGCGAAGUCAUGAUCCACUUAAGUCGACUCGUUUUGGUAUCUUCUUUCUUCUAUUUGUUUCAUACGUACUAUGUUCACAUGGUGCAGAUUUUAAAUGAUUUACAAUAUAAGCUAUCUUAAAAUAUUCUAUAAAUUUCUUAAUAUAAACACAAAGUAAAAACAAACCCCUCCCUUUCUAGGGCAUAAAAUCAAAAAUAAGAAAAUGUUUUGGACCAAGUUUCACAUAAAGUAUUAUACACAGAAAUAAUAUAAUUUGCCUAUUUAAAAAAUAGUCAUUAUCAUGACAUUUAUAUUCCAGAAAAUGUAUCCUCAAAUUUCAAUCAAAUGUGGGGCAAGAUCGAGAUGGGUUCAAAAUAAGAUUCGAGAAAAGUUAGGAAAGUAUAGUUAGUUCACACAUUUAUGUUGGUGGGCACCUAAAUAUUUUUCUUUUAGACCAUCAAAUAAUUGUUGAUUUUUUCCCUAAAUAAUUAGGGUCAUUUAUUGUGGGCAAGGACGCUACCAACAUUUUAUCUACAAAUAUACUAUGAGACAAUAAUAACAGUUGGCUGCCCUUUAAACCAUGCAAAUAAAGUCUUCUAGUCUAGUAUAUAAUAAAUAAAUAAUAUCCAUAGUUAUAAAAAAAUAAAAAAAUAUUCCAAGUUGUUUUCAUUGGAAAAUUCUUGAGGCAAAGGAUUUUUAGAAAUCAUGCAUAUGCCUGUCUUCUUCAUAUAUUCUCCAACUAUAAUUCAUCAGUUUUUAUUCUGAAAUUAAAUUCCAUGUUAGUGCAUUGUUUGUUACUUAAGACUUGGAUGGACUUGUUGAUUGUUUUCACAAGUUAUGUAGAUAUAAUAUGGUUUAAGUUUCUAAGUUGAAUCUUUUCUAGCUUGAUGAGUUUAGGUUUAAGUUAUCAAGAUUGAAUUAUGAUUCAUAGUAGUAAGUAAAGAGUGUUAGGUUUAUGAACAAGUACUUAAAUUAUAAUGUGUAUAUUAUAAACUAAAGUUAGUUUCUAGUGUUUGGUCAGUUAGAAGGAAAUAUUGUUCCAAAAACAUUAUGAUAUCACCUAGGCAAAUACUAUAACACUGAACUUGAAUCCCACCCUUUAACAUGGACUCAAACCCCUAUCCCGUCUGUGACCUAAGAUCUUAUUUGAUCACAACAUCAAAACCAAGACCCAAAAUCCAACCUGACUCAAGACUUGACCUCGAUCCCACCUCAAAACUUGACCCUCGACUUGACCCUGGUCAAACUAUAAUAAUACCAGGCAAUCAACCCUAGCCACAACCCAAAAUUCAAGACUAAAUUAAGAUCUAAAGCCGACCUUGCUCCCGAACAGAGAUCGUUGACCAAUUCCCAACAAAGACAUAACCUUGACCUUGAGUCGAGGUCAAGGUUAGGUUAAGCUUUAAGAUGGGUCAGAGUUGAGGUCGAGUCUGGAGUCAGAAAUCAUGUAGUUAGUCUUGGAUCGAGGGUCAAUAGUCUAAAGUAAGGCUUGAAAGUUGAGUCCUAGAUUGGGGUCAAAAUCAGGAGUCAAGGGCGAGAGUUAGAUCUCGAGUCUCAAGUCAGGUUAGAGUUGGGUCUAGGGUCGGAGUCAAAAGUUGGAUCUAAGGUCGAGGAUGAAAGGUGGAUCUCGAGUCGAUCUCGGGUUGGGUUAGGGUUGGGAGUUAAGUCACGGGUUGAGAUCGGAUCCAGAACUGAGUCGAGUGAUGACUGGUGAUGCCGAAGAAAGUUUUGAAAAAUAUUUUCCCAUACUUUAUGUAGAGAACCCAUUUUCCUUAAAUUUGAGGAAAAUAAGUCAAUUUGAAAAACAUUUAAUCCAAUCAAACAUGAGAAAAUUGGAAAGACAUUUUUCUUCGUACCAAAAACACGCAGUUGGUUUUGUUAAUAUACCUUAUACUAGCUUAAUCCAAUAAAAGCAUUUAACCCAGUUCAUUCAAAAUUACAAUGAACAACUCAUCCAAUUCAUUUUAAUUACUAGAAAAUCGAAGGUCAUUCAAAAUUCAUUACAUGUUUUAACCAUUUAUACUAUAGCCAAAUGACCCAAAUAGGAUACAAAAGAGUGGAGGAAAAGUUUAAACAAUAGCCAAAUUGUCCAAAAGAGUAGAGGAAAAAGUUUAAACAAUAACCAAUUGACAAAAAGAGGGGAGGAAAAAGUUUAAACAAUAGCCAAAUUUACCGAAAGAGGGGAGGAAAAAGUUUAAACAAUAGCCACAUUAUCCAAACAAAGUAAAAUCAGAGUGGAAAUGGGAAGAUGGAGAGCAAAUCAGUGUUCAGUGAGCAGUUAGAAUUUUCACUGACACACAGAAAUCUCAACGUUAGCCCAUUUUAGUUUAUUUUUUCCGUUCGCCUGAAUUAUCAAUUAGUACUAAAUCAGAAACGAAUCGUAAAGAGGAUCUUCGUCUCCGGGAAUUGCCGAUCUCAGCUCAACACAUAUGUUUUCUGCAGAUCGGUAAUGGCGAACUUCUUAGCUCAGUUUCAAAGUAUUAAAACUACUUGCGAUCACGUUGUCAUUGCCGGUAAACAAAUCUCAUCUCUCAUUUCUAUUUCAUACAAACCCUAGCUUCAUCGUAGUAGUAGUAAUUUGAAUUGUAGUUUUGCAAUGACUGGCGCCUGGCGGUAGCACCGGCUACUGCCGUUUCAACUAUAUCAGUAACGUGAUGGAUCAGUGUCUCCUAGUUUUAGAUCAUUUUGAAAUGCUUACUAGUUAUAUGUCAGAUAUAGAUAGCCAAUUUUAAGGCGGAAUUGCAGAACUUGAUUAAUCUAUUGCAAUUAAUAUAAAGUUAGAUAAUGGCGGAACACAAUGGAUUGGAAGGAUCUAAAUUGGUGAUACUAAGUAGUUUUGGAUUAGUGCAUUGUUUUUGUAGUUCCACUUAAUAUUAGGUCCAGUGUUUGUCAGGGGAGACUCACAUGUUGAGUGAGAUUUAGGGAACAUCUAGUCUUAGACAAAUUAUUUAGUAUUGAAAUGAAAUUGGCUAAUUGGAUUUAGAAAUAGCAGAACCGAGCGAGCUUGUGAUGGAGUUGUAGCUGAUUGGAUGUGCAUGUGUUCGAAUUAUGUGGUACAACCGUGGGUAGUAAGUCUGUUGUUGUUUAGAAUUGUUGCCACAUUACUGAAGUUAAUGCACACUUCGGAUAUUGAAAAGUUAAGGCGGUAGUUUUGGUAGGUGCUGCUACUCUUGGCUUCUCUACUUCAGGCUUGUGUGAGGACCUUUGUUUGAGGUGAGAUUCUAUAGCAGGUUGUUAGAUUUCCCGACUUUAAUGCUGUAAUUUAUUAUGUACCUGUAUAUUAUAUUUAGUUUCUAACUUUCUAAUUGUUUUAACUUUGCAUCAAGUAUGUCUGUGCGCACCUGGAAAAUUGUCUCUAAUUGAGCUAUUCCUAUGUACUCUUAUUAAAAUCUGGCACCUAUACUUGAAUAAGUAACCUCUCUUAUGUUACUACUAAUAUCUCGUGCCCAUUUUAUCCUCUGCUAGUAUUAGAAAGUUAGAAACAAUUAGAAAGUUAGAAACUAAAUAUAAUAUUAUUUAGUCUCUACUAGUAUUGCUAGAGCAUAAUCCUUAAUUAGGAGCUCUGUGAGCUUCAAACUAUGACUUGUUCGUCUUGUAAAUUUUUUACUUUUUGUGCAUUAUCUUGUAUGUCUCAGUUGCUCAACUUCAUUUCUCCAAUAAAUUACUUUGCAGUUGAAGAUGUCAGUGAUUUAUGGCCCCUUGUAAAGAAGGGGUUUGAAGACCAUUUGCCAUUCAAGAGAGCUUUUCUCAAUAACAAAACCCGUAAUCCUGUGCUUGUGGAUGAAUUGCCAGCUGAAUACAUAUUGACCACAGAUUCGAGACUUCGUAGUCGAUUUCCUCAAGAGCAAUCAUUAUUUUGGUUCCGAGAGCCAUAUGCUACCGUGGUUCUUGUCUCAUGUGAGGUAGAAAGCAUACUUGACUUUUUAAAGUUGAAUUUUCUAUCUUUGCAUCGUUAUUCAAUAUAUAACAGCCUUGAGUGAGUUGUUGUUGUUAAUAUAAAAGAUGCAGUUGUUCAGAAUUUGGAGAGAUGAUGGUGUGUAUCGCAACUGAUCAGUGAAAAGAUGUUAUGUAGAGAAAAUAACAUGUACCUAUCUUUCCUAUAAAAAAAGAAAAGUAAAAAAAAUAUGUACUUAGCUUAAUCUAUGCAAUUGUCUCACUUUAUACAUUUCAAGUAUUAUAAAUGAUAAUGCAUCCAAGGGUGUGACAUAAUGGUCAGGGGAGAGCCAUGAGGUCUUUAGGUUCAUAUCCUAGCAGAGAUAAAAAACACUACAUGAUUUCAUCCCAUCGGCAUAAACCUUGGUGGAUAGAGUUGUUCCAAUCUCUUUUCAGUCCUUUCAAGUAUCCCUUGCCAUAUUACAUGGACUUAUUCUUUGACCCAAGAGAUUAAAUAGCAGAAUAAUAUGAUUAAAACUUAAAAGGGGCAAGUGGAGCUACCAUUGUUAGCUUAUAUUCCUGUUUGGAGAGGACUAAACUCAUAUAUGGUUGGUGGCUGAAAUGGAGGUAUCUUUUGCCAAGUAGCAUCUGUAUGGAGAAAACAAAGAAAGUAGGGCAUAUCGAGUGAGAAUUUUUUGAAGGAGAAAAACAGUAGAAUAAGACAAAUUAUAUGUGUAGUUAGUAAGGAGGAGACCUCUAGCUGGUUAUACCCACGACUGAGUUAGUGAAAUGACCCAUUCAAACUCAUUUUCUUGGAUAUUCACGAUGGAAGCAUUUCUCCAGUGGCAGACAACAUGAUCUUACAGUUAAGGUAGUUGCUUAUAUUUCAGCAUUCAUCUGUUGUAAAAGUAAUUGAAGUAGACAAGAAGUUCCAGUUUCGCUAAAAAAAAAUUGGCCUCUUCAGUGAGGAAAUAAUUGGCAGUUAAGGAACAACCCUGACAUGCUUCCAACUUUUGAUGGUCCUUUGAGUUUUAUUUUUGAUAACUCAAGUUUUUUUUUUUGACAGCCUCUUCUAGCUUAAACUGCUUGAUUAACGUCCAAAUAUUUAUUCUACUUUUGCUUCUUUUAUUUUGAAGAUAGUUUCUUGUUUGUAUAUGGUAAAAGUUGAUGGUUCUUUUUCCUUGUUAGGAUCUUGAUGAGUUCAAAACUAUUCUCAAGCCACGCCUAAAGUUAAUAGUUCAAAAUGAUGAACGGGAGUGGUUCAUCGUGUUCGUGUCUAAAGCAGCAGCUCACAAUGAUCAGUCCACCAAGAUGGCAAAAAAAGUAUAUGCUAGACUUGAAGUUGAUUUUAGCUCCAAGAAGAGAGAAAGGUGUUCCCCUGCUGCAAAUUAUAUGAGUUCUGAUGCAAUUAACAAGUGUGCUGAUUCAGUGCCACCCAUGCAUCUCAAAAAAUAUUUUGCAAGUCCUGAAUUUUCUCUCUUUACAAAUAAAUUGACUAAAUGGGAAAUAUCAGAAGAAUAUUUUAAAUACUUACAGAAACCAUUAGUGCAUCUUGUGAGAGGUACAGGGAUCGUACUCCACAUCUCAAUCUUAGUUCUUACUUCUUCCAGUCAAUAGAAACCAUUAGUGCAUCUUCUUUCUAAAAAUAAUCAUGAAGGACAGUUAUGUAAUGUUUCUAAUAAGAAGGCUAAUUAGAAAUUUACCAUUCUUCCUCUCAUGGAUUUUGGCACCAAGCUACCUUUCUUUUGACAGGUUGUCAUACAGUCAACUUUCACUGCAUCUGGUCUUUUCCGUUAUCUGUUUUGAGUUACAUUAGUAUUUUCUUCAGAUCUCUAUGGUAUUCAUCCAGUUAAAUAACAUGCUAAAAUUACGUGAAAUGAGAGAGAUCGAAUAGCCUUGAGAGGAGACAGAAGUGUACCCAACUAAUAUUUUUGUUCUUCCUUUUAAAAAUAACCUGGAUCUUAACACCCCAAAUAAAUUCUCUCUCUAACCUAUUUGGAUAUAUGCUUUGUAUUAGAUGUUGCAAACUAGACUUUCAUGGACCUGAUACAAAUUUCUGGGAUGACUUGGAAGCCAAGAUCAUGGAAUGCAUCAGAAAUACGCUUGAUAGGCGCAUUCAGUUUUAUGAAGAAGAAAUACGGAAGCUCAGUGAACAGCGCUUCAUGCCUGUGUGGAACUUCUGUAACUUCUUCAUUUUGAAGGUAAUACAACAGCAACAACAAUAUUCCCAGUGUGAUCCCAAUUUUUUUCUUCAUCAUUAGCAGGAUUGUCAGAUGCUAGUGCCUGGAUUCACGAAUAUAGAAAAGUUUCAUUGUUUAACAAUCUACACAUGAUUUCAGAGAUUAGUAACUCCUGUUUGGAAGGCAUUUUAGUGCGAUAUAUCUUCUAUUGAAGAUCAUUUGACCUUCUUGGUAGUAAUGAGUUUGCUUUAUGCUUUAUAUCAGUUAGUAGGUUAGCUUUAGAUAAUCCAAGUGAUUAUAUUAUGCUUAUGUGGAGUUGCCUCAAACUAUUGCAUUUUUUGCUCAGAGUUAGAUUUUAUUGAGAGGAUCCAUGUUCUGGAUUUUCAAUAACAACUUUUUCUCAUUUAACAGGAGAGUCUGGCUUUUAUGUUUGAGAUUGCUCAUCUCCAUGAAGAUGCAUUACGUGAAUAUGAUGAGCUAGAACUCUGCUACUUGGAAACAGGUGCUUAAUGGCUGACUCUUUUUAUUUUCCUCCUCAACUUCAAGAUGGAUUAAUGUUAAUUGUUUAAAUUUAUUGCUGAAAACAUACUUACCCUUCUUGUUUGCUGUUGACCUCUUUACUUAGCCAUCUUGACUAGUUUGCCUUCUUUCUUGUUAUGCUACCAGGUUUCUUGGUAUGAAGGAAAAUGUUUUCCAUGGAAAAUAAGUGGAGUUUCUUACUUAUUUUCUAGUGUUUGGUAAGCAAAAAAAUAUUGUGCAAAAGCAUUUAUCUGGAAUCCAGAAAAAACAUUAUGCGGGUGGGAUGAGGUGGGGUGGGGACCGGUGGUGGUGGUGGCCGGUGGGUGGAAUGGCCAGGGGUGGAGGGUGGGAAAGAGACAAUGAGCUUGAUAUGCCACUGUUGAAACUUGUUUCCCCUACUUCCAAUAGGGAAGUCAUAAAGAGAUUCUUUUUUUCCAUAAAAGUCUGAAAUAGAUUGCCUGAUCAAGAGAUUCUUUUUUCCAUAAGAAAUACCAUAAUUUAGAAAUCCUCAAAUAUCUCCUUAGGGUUCUCUAUAUUUCUCUAUGGCAUUUGUCAAACCUAUGUAUAUGUGAAUUUGCAUUAUGUCCUACAAUCCUGAUGCUCUUCAUAGGUCAUUGGACCCAAGAUGCUUGCAGCUAAUCCUUAAUAUAUCACAAUCUAUUCCACCCCAGUAGUUCUUUUGACAGUAGAAUUUUUUUUGAUUGAUGAACAUUCUGAUUUAUAGUAGUACUUUGUACUAUAAAGUUUGACGGGAAAGAAUACAUUGCUAAAUCCAUUUAAUUUGAUGACAUGAUAUCAUCGAUGGCUUUUCUUUCUUAUUGUAACAUGAGAAACCACUGUGAAUUCUGUGAUAAUAUAUAUUAUGCUUUGUAGUUUACUGUUUAGGCUAACUUGAUUGCUCAAAUUGUAUGUUGUGUUCUGGUUAUGAAGAUGCUAAACAUGAUAACUGACCCGACCUUUAUAUGUCACUAUUGAUUAGUGAAUAUGACUGGGAAACAGAGGGACUUUGGAGGAAUGGACAGCGGCGAUGAUCAGGCUGCAUUGCUCAACCCAGGGAAAAAAGCACUUAACCAGAUUGUUCAAGAUGAUUCUUUUAGGGAAUUUGACUUCAGGCAGUAUCUAUUUGCCUGCCAAUCAAAGGUGAGUAUGGCAAGACCUAUGAUUAAAAUUGGCUAGUUUUGCAUAAGAUAUGAAUCUUUUCUUAUUCAGUCGGAGGAAAAAUACUGCACUGCUCCCUUGCAUUCAUCAUCCUUCUUUCUCUUAUGGGACAUGAAAAAAAAAUUGCCCAUAACAAAAGGUGAAAGGAAUUCGAGUGUAAUUUCUAGUAAUGCUCCAAAAUGUAGGUUUUUUUGGCACUGUGAUGGUUGCGCUCGCAACUCUAGCAAGUUAAAUCAAUUUGCUCAUUCCUAAUCCAUAACGUGCAUUCUCAAAGAGGAUCAUAAAUAAUGAGGAGGAAGUCAGCUGAUUAACUUGCUAGGGAAUUUAUCACUUCAAUCUUGGAUAGAUUUAUCUGUUACAAAAUCUUUUGUUACUUCUACGGCCUGCCUUGUUCUUCUCCGUAGUCCCACAACAUUAUAAAGCUGUCUAUGGAGUCAGAUUCAGGAAAAGAAUUGUGCUACCCAUAUAAUGCCCUCUUCUAUGAUCUAUGAGCACUAUCAUAACAUUGAGGAUCCCUCAUGGCAUUUAAUUUGAUGAGUACAACAAGUUCUUUUUCUCAACCUCUUCUAGUAAUUAGUGUUUUCUAGAGUCUACGUGUAUGUUGCUGUUUCUAUUGCUGAAGAGAUUCGGACUAUUGUGGUUGAAAACAACAACAAACCCAGUGUAAUCUCAAAAGUGGGGUCUAGGGAGGGUAUAGUGUAUGCAAAUCUUUCCCCUACCUCAUGGAGGUAGAGAGAUUGUUUCCGAAGAACCUUGGCUCAAGUGCAUCAAAUCAAAAUAGUUAUGAACGAGAAAAUAUGGUGAUGAAGAAAAAAACAUGGUAACUAAUACGGAAAGCAAUACAAAACAUACACAAAAUGAACAGUAACGACAUAUGGUAACAAAUAUCAAAAAACAAGAAACUACAUGAAGAAGGCUAAUAUUAUGACAUACACGGUGCUCUAGGCUACCACCAAGCCUAUACCCACUGAAAAGCGAAACAACGCUCAACUACCUACUAACCUUCUAUCCUAGUCCACGACCUCCUUGCUCCCCUAUCUAAGGUCAUGUACUUAGUAAGCUACCUCAUUCUAUGUACACCAUACUAUCUCAUUUUUGCAGUACAGGUUGUUUCCGUUGCUGUAGCUACCUAAUUCUACUUUUGUGUUUAGCAUAAUGCCAGGAUCCUGAUAUUACUUUAGUAAAUGUGUGUAGCUCAAAAAAUAUAGGACUUCUCAGGUAUCUGAUGAGAAUAAGUUCUGAAUAUGAGGUACCAUCAAUUCUUGGAUGUCAUCAUUUUUCAUCUGUACCUUUGAAGAGCAUUUAAUGCUAAAAAAUUUCUCACCGGUGCUCAACUUUGAGAAAAUGUGUUUGUUAAUCUUAGGAGCAAUACGCAUUUUUUCACAAUUUCUCUUCCUUAUACAAAAGAAAUAAGCACUAAGCAUUUAAAAGUAUGAAUUCUCCUUAAGUUUAAAUGUUUGGUUGGGUUUCACGUGUCACAUUUUUGACUUAUCUUUGCAACUAUUGUGAUACCUUUAUUUGGCUACUAUUCUGUUAUCUGUACGUUCAAAAACUAAUUGGAAUAGAAAGAUACUGCACUCUAAAGAUUGUAUCGUGCUCAUAAGUUCAACCCCCUAGAAGUUUGGAAUCCAACAAACAACAACAACAACAUACCUAGUGUAAUCUCACAAAUGGGGUAUGGGGAGGGUGUAGUGUACCAGACCUUACCUCUACCUUGUAGAGAUAGAGAGGUUGUUUUUGAUAGACCCUCGACUUAAAAUAAAGCAUUUCCAAGCAGUUUGAAAAAAGAGAAUACAGAAAUGAGAGCAGUUACAGCAACACAAUAAUGUGAAAUGGGAGCAACACAUAACAUACAACGGUAAAAAUAGUAAUGCCAACAAAAUAAUGUGAUAAAUGAAGCACAAAAAGACAGGUGAUAAUCGAAAUUGAAGAACAACAAACUGUGAGAAUAGGGUGCUAAUACUACUGGCAAGAAAGAAGGUCCAAGUUCUACCACCAAUGCUAUCCCACAGGAAAGCGAGAGAACACUAGACUGCCAACUGACCUUGUACUGUAAUGCGCAACCUCCAAACCCUCUUAUCUAAGAUCAUGUCCUCUGUAAGUUCAAGAUGCGCCAUGUCCUGUCUAAUUACCUCCCCGAACACUUCUUCAGCCUGCCUCUACCUCUCAUUAAGCCCGCCCUUGCCAACCACUCACACCUCCUCAUUAGGGCAUCUACACUGUUCCUUUUCACAUGCCUAAAUCAUCUCAGUCUCGCUUCUCUCAUCUUAUAUACCACAAAGGUCACUCCUACCUUAUCCUAGACAUCUUCAUUCCUAAUUUUAUCUCUCCUAGCUAUGUUACUUGGACUCUCCAAAUAUGCAGCUGCACCAGUGUCGGUUUCUCUAAAAAUGCACUACUCUUGGAGGAUCGUACGCGCACCCAGUGACAUUUUUGAAGUGUCCGACCAACAUAGUCUCCUAGUAUGCCCACACAUCCACCUCCACCCCUACAAACAAUAAUUUUUUUUAAAAAGCGAAGAACAUAGAUGGUCAAUUCUCCUAGCACUUAAAUUAUCUUAAGCAUUUUUCUAAUGAUGUUUAAUCAAGAUUUAUUUUUCCAUUCAUACCUGCAGCUUCUCUUUAAGCUGACCCGACCAUUUGAAGUAGCAUCAAGGGGGCAUUCAUUUAUUAUUAGCUUCUCAAAGGCAUUGGCCCUUCAUGAGGUAAUGAGUUCUCUUUUACCUGCUUCAUCAUUUCUAUUGUCUGUGAGGAUUGAAUCCUUUUUUAUUAUUUAUAAUCUGUUUUUUAGUUUUCAUUCAAUCCUUUGCUUUAAAAGGCAACUUAAUUGCCAGUACAGUCCGAAUGGAGUGGAAUAUUUAUUUUACUGAUUCAUAUAUCUCCAUCUAUUGGGAUUGAGGUGUAGUUAAUUAAUUGAUUUUUCAUAUGUGCUUCUGUUGUUCCAGAGUAAAUUGCCCUUCUGCACGCGUGAAGUAUGGGUUAUAACUGCUUCCUUGUCUUUAAUCACUGCAACUGCUGCUCAAUACAAAGAUGGAGAAGUGGCUUCUGACAUUGAAAAAGAGUUUUACCGUGUUCAGGGGGACCUUUAUUCUUUAUGUCGUACUAAGGUAAACUAAUCUAUGCUAAGAAGUAUCAUCUGAUGUUGUCAGAUGUAUCUACUGAAGACUAACCUUAAACUUGACCAUCCUACGGAAGAUUUGUUUUCUGAUGAGUUUUGAAAUGCUGGUCACGUGUAUGUAGCUUUUAGGGCUGUCAUUUUCCUCAAAUUUUCAAAUAAUUUUGAUUCUGGAUUCAGUUUUUGUUCCUUUAGCUUUUAUUUAUAACAAGUUACUCUCUGCCUUCCGUUGAAGCUUGUUAUGGUUGUGGCAGUUCAUGCGGCUGGCAUAUUUAAUUGGUUAUGGAUUACAUAUUGAAAGAAGUCCCGUGAACAGGUACUCGCACUGUUGCUCUUGACAACACCUUUUUCUUGUAUUGGGGCAUUUGUCUAAACCAACCAUCCCACAGGAGGGUAAUCCUAGUCAUACAAGAAAGGUUGUUGAAUUUACUGAAAGCUCAUGUAUAUUUCAUUCGUAUGCGCAGUGCUUCACUUAGCAUGCUGCCUUGGCCUAAGCCAGGAGUUUGGCCUUCUCUUCCUCCCGAUGCUUCAUCUGAGGUGCUUGUGAAAGAAAAGGUGCGUUUUUACUCCUGGUCAUUGAAGAUAUGCCAGAAACACAUGCCCAUCUAAAAGCAUACCAUUCUUUUGGGGCGUGGAGAAUGCAUGAGAAGAACUGAUUUUCUCCUAUAGCAAUUACCUAGCUGAAAUUUUUUAAAUUGGUGACUGCUAAAGUUAAUGAGUUGAUGCGUGUGAAAGGGCAUGCGGUUUGUAAAGUAAAAUUCCUCCUUUCUCAUCAACCUUCAGACAUUUUGAAAGAUCAGUUAGGAUUCAUCCUGUAGGGUAAGAGAAAAACUUAGGAAGGAAUAUGUAGCAUAUAGGCAACACGCUGACAUAUGCAAAUUGAAUAUUAAGCAACUAAAAAAGCUAGAGGUUUGGCAAAUCGUUGAUGUACACAAAUAGCUAAUAUUGCUUGAGUUGCAAGUAGAAGAGAUAAAAUUUCCAUGUUUUGAUCUCCAAUGUAAGUUCAUGGUGCCAUUGGCAGGGUGGAUACUUUUAUGAUAGACUAACUGACAUUAACAUAUGAGUUUCUCUUGCAUACCUGCGUCCCAUAUUAAUCAUGCCAUCCUUGGGACAUUUCAAAUUUUAAAGGUCUGCUUAGCCAGCAAUAAUGGGCCCAAUAUCCACUUUUGACAUUAUUUGCAUUUAUGUUUACAAUUGAAAUGCCUUUUCAUACCAUUGGCCACAAUUUCUUUGCAGAUGAUGUUUGAAGAAAGUCUGCAGGUUAAGCAUUUUGGUAUUCAGAGGAAGCCUUUGCCUCUAGAACCAUCUGUACUUUUGCGAGAAGCAAAUCGCAGAAGAGCUUCUAUUUCUGCUGGGAAUGUGUUUGAAAUGUUUGAUGGACAUCCAAAUGCAAUUGAUGGGUAAUGGAGAUUGAUUAAGAUGAAUGUUUUAUUUGUACUUUUCUAUUAAGUGCAUCCAUACUUAACAAGGCAAAGGUUGGGUGAUUGGGCUGUUUUGAGAUUAUCAGUUGCCAUGUUUUGGAAAUUUUAGAAGUUUGGUAGUUCUCGAAUAAGAAGUUUGAUAAUUUCCUAUAUUACUUGUAUAGGAAGCGACAAGCUUACGGACUCCUAUUUGCAUUCUUGACUUAAUAUGUUUCCACUUCACUUAUCACUAUUGUGCAGUUGAAAAUUGCUCUUUUUUCAAAAACAGCAACAUAUUGUUUGAACAAUCGGUAAGGUGAAUAAUAAUGCUUUUUAUAAGCAUGCCUGUGUCAAUUUAAGUGAAUUACUGGAGGAUAUAAAGCUGAAUAGACUGUUUAAGUUGAUUACUCAAGGGUCCCUUCAAAGUGUAAUUAUAUGGAUGCAUGGACAAAGACUAUGGUUUACAUGAGUGUCAAUAUUUUCUUUUAGUCCAAGAAUUAUCUCCUGAGAACAUCAUUAAGAGAAAGCAGGGCACAGAAAAAGGGAUGUCUGGUGUCGUUUCAUCUAUUUCUUACUAAUCAUUUGACUGAAGGAUGUUUUCCUGAAGCCAUAUGGUAAAAAAUCUAAAAUUAGAUUAGAACAUUGGUGUUAGUUUCCCCAAGAGGCUUCACAUUUUCAUAUGUUAUAUUGUAACCUCAAAGGCUGAGCUCUUACCUUGUCGUCAUCUGCCGACAGCUCAGGUUCAAUGUCUUCACCAGCAAAAUCACAGUCGAUAUCAAUGUCAAGAACUAACUCUUCUCCUGGAAACUUUGAGAGCUCAAUCAGCCGACCUUUGAGGCUUUCAGAAAUUUGCGUUGCUGCUGAGCAUGCUUUGCGGAAUACAAUUUCUGAUGCAGAACUGUGGAAAUCUUUGUCUUCUGUCCAGGAAUUUGAGGUUCGUAUCUUCUCUCAGGAUUUAUGUGUACCUUUGAAUAGUGAUGGUACUUGGAAUAGAGUUCUGUAUACUACAUGUGAAUAGGCAUGAUACUACUUAUUUGAGUUCUGCAUAUAUUUUAUUUAAUUGCUUGUGAAUUGGACACCUUUACAUGCACUAUUCAGCAGCAGUUUAAUCCUUAGUAUUUAUGUAGAGUCAUGUUUUGUUUUAUAUUCUUCAUUCUUUAUGCAAUUCUAAUCAGUUUUAAUCUCAGCAAAAAUACAUGGAGCUGUCAAAAGGAGCUGCCAACAACUAUCAUCGUUCAUGGUGGAAGAGGCAUGGAGUUGUACUUGAUGGUGAAAUUGCAGCUGUGUUCCAUAAAAACGGAAAUUAUGAUCUUGCUGCAAAAUUGUAUGAAAAGGUUUGUGCUCUUUAUUCUGGUGAAGGAUGGCAGAAUCUUUUAGCUGAGGUCCUUCCCAAUUUAGCUGAGUGCCAAAAGGAACUUGGUGAUCAAGCUGGCUAUCUAUCUUCAUGUGUAAGAUUGCUCUCAUUGGAUAAAGGAUUGUUCUCCAGCAAGGAACGUCAAGCAUUUCAGUCUGAAGUGGUUCGUCUUGCUCAUAGUGAGAUGGAGAACACCGUGCCUCUAGAUGUGUCCUCACUGAUAACAUUUUCUGGCAAUCCUGGACCACCACUGCAGCUUUGUGAUGGCGAUCCUGGUACACUCUCCGUCAUUGUAUGGAGUGGAUUUCCUGAUGACAUUACUCUAGAAUCACUUAGUCUAACUCUCACAGCCACAACUAAUACCGAUGAGGGUGUUAAGGUAUUCUGUUUUACUCUCUAUCGCAUCUCCUCAAGUAGUUUUUAGAAACUGUAUCUUCUAGUGCAAUAAGCUUUUAUGAGAUUUUUUCUCAGGCAAUAAAAAGAUCCGGUGAGACGAUAUUAAAGCCUGGAAGGAAUACAAUCAUGAUCAAUUUACCUCCGCAGAGACCCGGUUCUUAUGUUUUGGGGGUUCUUACAGGGAAAAUUGGUUUACUAAGUUUUAGAUCUCACAGCUUUUCAAAGGGUGCUCCUGCAGAUAGUGAUGAUUUUAUGAGUUAUGAGAAGCCAACAAGGCCAAUCUUAAAGGUAAAGGAUAUUUCAUAUAAGUGGAGAGACGAAAAAAUGAAUUGUGAAGGUUGGGAUAGGUAUUCCACAAGGAUAGAGUGUCAUCCUUCACUUCUAUCCUCAAAUAUUCUUAUUGAUUUUUUUGUAUGCAAAUGCUCUACAAUUUAUUAUACAGAAUGAUUAUCUGAAAUCUUUCUCAAAAAGAAAAAUGGUCUUUCUCAAAAUGAUUAUCUGAAAGGCCUUCUAUAUUUCUUGAACUUUUUUGAAAGGUGUUCAAGCCAAGGUCUCUGGUUGAUCUUACUGCUGCUGUUUCAUCUGCUUUAUUGAUGAAUGAACCUCAGUGGGUUGGAAUAAUUGUGAAGCCAAUUAGUUACUCUCUUAAAGGUGCAAUUCUGCACAUAGACACUGGUCCUGGGUUGACUAUUGAAAAAUCGCAUCAUAUUGAAAUUGAGAGGCACAUGAAUGGGCACACAAAUGAGUUAGACCAUUCUGAAGGUUCUAAAGAUGAUGACAGUUCUGCAGCUACUCCCGAAGUUAAACAAAUGUCUCUUCAUGAUGGAAAUAUUGAGCUGCCUGGUUGGGCAAGCAACAUAACUUCUGUUUUGUGGAUUCCUGUGCGUGCUACCAGUGAUGAACUUCCUAAAGGCGCUCCUGCAGGUGAUAAUUAAUAAACUAGUGGUGGUUCAAACAGCAUAGUCGCAGCUCCAUAAAUCUGUUUUUCCACUUCCUAAACACCUGCUUUACCUAUCAGGUGCAGUUGUUCCCCAGAGACAGAACCUAGUGGAGGGACUGAGAACAAUAGCUUUAAAACUUGAAUUUGGAGUUUCGCGGAACCAAAUAUUUGAAAGGUUAACCUUCCUCAUUUUUUCAUUUCAUACUUCUAAUUUUUGAUACUUUUUUAUGCAUAUUCUUGUUAGUAAGACUAAUCUGGAAUCUAACUUCUUUGCAGGACAAUUGCUGUGCACUUCACUGACCCCUUCUCUGUAAGUACACGAGUUACGGACAAAAGCACUGAUGGAAAAUUGCUUUUGCAGGUAAUCUUUUCUGCCGCUUUUGUUUGGUGGUGGUUUUUUGGGGUGGGUGGGGUGUGGGUGUGGGCAGUUACAGGCUAGAGCAGUCAUUUUCUCUGUUGAUCAGUGGUUCUUUAUAAGUAUUUUUGGAUGUCUGGAUGUAAUAGAAAUAGAGAAGAAAAAUAAAUGACUUAAAGAGAAGAAAAGGCAUAGGAGAUGCAAGAAGCCAUCUGAAUUUGCAUCCUUUGUGUUAGGAUUACUGUUUCCAGAAAUGCACACAAUUGUCUCUGAUGUCUGUAGUUCUGUGUUUUAUAGAAUUGUAUCAUUGCAGUGUCAAGAAAUUGCAUGACCUUCAUUAAUGUCAACUCUCUCAUGGUUAGUGUUUCCUGCUUUGUCUAGGUGAUCCUGCAAUCACAAGUCCAAGCUACAUUGACCAUCUAUGACUCUUGGCUUGAUCUUCAAGAAGGUUUUGCCCACACUAGAAAUGGUGAUAAAAAGCCGAUCUCUGGCUUCUUCCCCUUAGUGAUCUCUCCGAAAUCUAGAGCUGGAAUUCUCUUCAGUGUAUGCCUGGCAAGUGCACCAAUAGGAGGUAUGCCCUGCAAUUUUCCCUCUUAGUCACAGACUCGGCAGUCAUUAAUUUUUGACUUCCUUUAUGUACUGAUACUAAUAGUAGGGUGCCCAAUUAUGGCAUAUCAUCCACUACACUUUCUGCAAUACUGGGAAAUCUUGGACAACAUUUUGCCCUGCAUGCUUUUGAUUAGCCAUCGACCAAAAGCAGAAAAUAAGAGGAAAUAUCUACUGGAGUCUACUAAGGAUAUUCCUUUAUGGACAGUUGAUAGGGAUAAAUUUGAAUUACACGGGGGAGGAAAAUGCAUGCUACAUAUUUUGAAUUCUUGAAACUUAUCUAAAUAUUUAAAGAAGCAACUUAUGAUAUUUCAUGACACUAAUUUUCAGUCUUGCCUUUUCCUUUUGUGGUUUGCUUAGAAGAAGCUGAGAUCCAGUGUCCUGAGAGCAUUUUAAAUAUUAGAUUUGGUAUUUGGGGAAAUAGAGCUGCUGGUGCCCAUGACCCCAAUGCUGAGGAACCUAGUGGACAUGAUGGAUCGACUCAGAGUCUGAUUUUCAAGAGCUCUCUUCUUUUACAGAGACCUGUGCUUGACCCUUGCUUUGCCGUCGGUUUUCUACCUCUUUCUUCAACUGAUCUUCAAGUAGGACAUCUUGUUAGCAUGAGAUGGAGAGUUGAAAGGUUAAAGAGUUUGGAGGAAAAUGCAGCUUCUGAAAACAAUGUAAGUACUGAUGAUCUGCAAUCCUCUUUGGCAUUUUCAAUAACAAAGUUUAUCAAUCCUAUCUGUCCAUAUAAAUUGCUCAAUCUUUCAAUAGUCCGAAGCUUUUUUUACUGUUGGUUUUUCCUUUCUCCUUUUGAUCAAUCAUCUGGGUGACUUACUGGAUAACUCCCUCGAAUUUCUCGACUUCUACUUUAGACUCGUCAAGAAGCUAAUUAUUUUCUAUCGAAAUUAAGAAAUAUAGAAAGCUAUCUAAUCGAGCCCUGGCUGCUGCUGCACAUGUAUAUCUGUUUGAUCUGGUUAUUCUUGUAAAUUUCUCACAUCAUGUAAAACUAACUUGUAAUACCAUAUAUGUCAUAAUGGGACAAAAGACUUCCUUUAGAUGAUAAGUGCCUCCUUUUUUGUUUCUCUUGCAAGGAUGAUGUUCUAUACGAGGUCCAUGCAAAUUCAGAUCAUUGGAUGAUUGCUGGGAGGAAAAGGGGACAUGUCUUACUCUCUACGGAACAAGGUCAUUAUUUUCAUUGUUUUGACUUUCAACUUGUAUUACAAGUGCUCUGCGGGUACUCAUACUUGUUUUGUACUGUGACAGGAUCGAGAAUAACUAUUUCAGUAUUAUGCUUACCACUGGUUGCUGGAUAUGUUCGUCCUCCUCAAUUGGGGUUGCCAAAUGUUGAUAAGGCCAAUAUUUGUUGCAAUCCUCCUAGUCCACAUUUGGUGUGCGUCUUCCCUCCAGCUUUAAGUUCUUCUUUCUGCAUACCACCCUGAAGACUUUGGUCAUCCUUUCCUCCUUUCUCCUUAAAAGCAUGGAUGGUUUAACUUGAAAACUUGGAGUCUACCAGUGUUUGUACAAUAUGUAUUCUUUUCUAAGUCGCAACGGUAAAGGAAGUGAGUUUUUUUAGUGUCAAAGAUGUAGACCUAAUGUACAGAGAACAGUUUUGCUUGUACAAUAGAUGAGAUUCUGAGAGAGAAUUUAUUUGUAGACGGAACAACAGUAGUCGGGAGAUGGAUGAAUUAAAGAGUUUUAAGUGAUUAUUGGUUUUACUAUAUUAUGUGCAUGUUAUAUGCCUUGUGCUUUUGAAUUACUUAAAACUUGAUUGUUGGCAUAUAUUUUCUUGGUUGUUUUUGUGCUCCUUUUGGUUGAGCUAGAUGAUUUUCCGGUCUUCAUCAUGUAUUUGACACUUUUCGGCGUAUUGAAGAUCACUAAUAGAUCAAAUAUAAGUCUAAUUUCGUAUAUAUAGGUGUUCUCCGACUCUCGAAACUUUACCUUUAGCCGGCUUUGGCCCAACUAGUUUUGAGUAUGCAGGCCUCGAUCUUUGAAAAACUCAUAAAAAAUUAUUUAAAAUAUAAUAAUAAAUUGCAUAUGACAAAGAAAACUUCGUUAAAAUAGAAGAAAAUAUUAACAGAAGGACGAUUUUAGUCAACUUUUCCCAACUUAAAAAAUGUUAUCAGUUAAUAUAUGGAUGUAAUAAUCAUAAUAAUUUGAGGGGAAAUAUAGGAAUCAUUUACGUGAAUCUGGGUUUAACUUCGUAUAGUUACCCAGGCUCUGGCCCAACAGAUUUUGAGCAGUCAAGCCCAAUUUGAAAUUCGGACCCCUAAUUCCCUUUUUCGCCCGCCAAUUUCAAAUGUCGCCGAAGUAAACCUUUCCCCCGUGAAUUCUUUGCUUCCCGGAACACCUUCAGGAUCUCCACUGGCAUGAAAUUGUAAGUUUUCCUUCUCAUGAAUCAUAAACCCUAAUUCCUAAUUCCCAUGAUAAAAUUCGAAUUUGAAAUUGACGUAGAAGUACUUUGUGACUCCUUUUACGUGUAGAAAUCGAAAUUCUAAUCUCAUUGUUACAUUUUUUACUAGCUUUCUAUGAUCAAUUUUAAUAUCCAAUUUAGUGUAAGUUUCAAUUUUUCUGGAAAAAAGUUUUGUUUUACUUUAUGCAGAUUGAAUUGUUAUCAGAUUGCCGAGACUUGGAAUUUUGAAGUGAAUUCAGGCUAUAAUUAGGGUGAGUUCAGUGUAACAUCGUUGUAUAGUAAUACCAAUUUGUAGGGAAAAUGAAAAGAAAAAUGGAAAUCCCAAAUUCAGGGGUUUCAAUCUCAAAGAGAGACCUGUGAGAAAGAGGAUAGCUUCUAGGAAUUAUGAUGAGAAUUUGAUGGAUAAUUUCAUAGAUGAGCAGUUGGGUGGCCCAGUGACGAAGAAAGAUUUGGAGAAAGAAACUGAAAAAGAGGCCUUGAUAGCUCUUUCUUUGGGCUUCCCAAUUGGGGUUGCCAAAUGUUGAAAAGGCCAAUACUGGUGUGCGUCUUCCCUCCAGCUUUAAGUUCUUCUUUCUGCAUACAUACCACCCUGAAGCCUUUGGCCAUCCUUUCCUCCUUUCUCCUUAAAAGCAUGAUGAGCUUCACAUGGAUGGUCUAACUUGAAAACUUGGAGUCGACCAGUGUUUGUACAAUAUGUAUUCUUUUUUCAAAUCACAACAGUUAAGGAAGCAAGUUUUUUUUAGUGUCAAAGAUGUAGACAGAGAACAUUUUUGCUUGUACAGUAGAUGAGAUUCUGAUGUGCAUGCUCUGACUAUAUGCCUUGUGCUUUUGUAUUAAAACUUGAUUAUUUUUUUCAUAUCUUUUCUUUGUUGCUCCUUGUUUGAUCUUUUUGGUUGAGCUAGAUGAUCUUCCAGUCUUCAUCAUGUAUCUAACACUUUUCGCGUCAUCGUCCGAGAAUCAUCCCAGUGAUACUAUAAUUGUUUGUCUAUAGAUAAAAUAACCACUUAAAAUGCUCGUGUCUUCCAGAUUUGAAAAUAAUUUCAAUUAGUAGUAUUUUAUCGAAUGAUGUCCCUUAAUUAAUUUUCUACUGAAGAAACUUUUUAUAGGUUGUGUGAGGUAUUGUUUACACGAUUAAUAUACAGAAUCAAAUAUCUUCAAAAACAAAAACAAACAAAAAAAACUAUUGAGUGGCCAUUCUGUUAUAAAAAUCUAAUCUUCUAUCUUUAGAAAAUCAGAAAAAAAGAAUAGGUCCCACCGAGACUUGAACUCGGGUUACUGGAUUCAGAGUCCAAUGUCCUGACCACUAGACCAUGGGACCUUGUUGAAAAUUUAAGAUAAACAAUAUUUAUAAAUCCAAUUAGAAAGUACUAACCCCUUCCCACACCCCUAAUUACCAAGAAGUAUGAUUUACACCAUAAAUUAAGCAUAUCUUGAAUUUAUCAUGUCAUAAAAGUUCAUUAUUUUCUUCUUGAACGAAACAUUGUAAAGGUAAGGUUGUAUACACAUCACUCUCUCUAGCCCUUACUUAUGCGAUUACCCUGGAUAUGCACUCUCUCUAGAGAGUUUUUAUGUGAUUACCUUAGAUAUGUUGUUGUUAUUAUUGUCGUAAGGAAAAACUUGAAAGAGAAAGGCAGGGAGAACUUUGAAAGCAAAAGAGGUUUACUAAUCCAACAUUAACCAUGUUUUAAGGACCCAAAUAUUCCGGCAAGUGUUAAUGUAAACACACAAAAAUCAGGAGAGAAGGAAUAAAUUAAGGUAUGUGGUCUCCAUCAACUCUUCCACAUGCUAAAUCUAUAUUGAUAGUUGAAACGUUGUAAAAAUAUAGCUUUUAUAUCGGUAUUUAUCUUGGUAUAGCAUUCGCAAAAAGCUCACACUUUAUUUACGUUAUUCUGUCACCUAAAAGACCUAGGACUGAAAAAGUCAUUCGGAGCACAUGCCUAUUUAAUUGCUAGAUUAGAGUGUUUAAACUUUUGGAUAUUAUAAUUGGAAUUAAGUAGGCAUUUUGAUUAAUGGACGAUACAAAAUUAGGAGAGAAGAAAUAUCAUAAAUUGUUUGGUCUUAAAUCUUAAUCAACAUAUUUAUUAUUUAGGUGGCCAUUUAAUAUUCCAAUUUAUAUUAGCCAAAUCUGUUUAUAAUGAUAGCUCAAACAUCAAUGGCAAGCACAAACAUUGUCCAACUCUGAAAUGUAGUUGAAACACCUAAAUCAUGAAAUACUUUUGUUAGCAAAUCCUUGUAAUCCUACCAAACCUACAAUCAACAUCAUUGUUGUUGUUUUAGUUGGUUUAGUUUGUCAUUAACGAUACGGGCGAAUAUAAUAGAAUUUUGUAAAUUUUGUUUGAAUCUUAUGUAUAUUUUACUAAAUAUUUAUAAAAUUAAAAUGUAAAAUCGAAUUGCUAACGUAUAAAGUUAUUAUCCUACCAUUAUCAAAAUCAAAUUUAAAUUUUGUGUACACGUCUAUCAAACAAAAGCAUUGUCCCACUCAUGAUUUUGAUUUGUCACGAAGCGUCAUGAGUGAUGUGUAUUUUAAAUACAAUAAUAAGGUUAUUUUUAUAUUAUAAAGGCUAAAAAAUUCAAAUUGCAUCUAAAUUUUUCUAUCAUUGCAAUUUAUUACUUUCUUUGAUAGCAUACAUACAAUGAUACAAAUGGAAAGAGGCUACUAAGGGAAAUAGUAAUAUUGAACUUAUCUAUUACUCUAUGUUAUGCCCAUAAUAUUGAACUACCAAAAGUUAUAAUGAAAUAGUAAAUUGGAGUAAUAUUCUUUCAUUUUAAAUUAGAGAUUUCAGAUUUGAGCAUUGAAUAUAGAGUCACAUCUGCUAGAGAUCCAUAAUGAAACUUUUCAACGCAAAUGCAAAUUAAUUAAGUCCCAGAACGAAUAUUGAAUACCAUGUGGAAAACCAAAAUCCUAUAUGCCAUGCCCAUUAAAGUUCCCUUAUUCAAAAUCAUUACUUUGAACUUUUCUUAUGGAGGAAAAGAUAUAUAUAUAGGGUCGAUUUCAAUAUUCUUUUGUUGUGUAGGACCUAUAUAUAUGUAUGCAUUAGUCAUUCGUUUCUCUUGCUUUCACAUGUAGUCAAAAUUUUAUGUGGUUUAUAUUUAUUUAUUUUUUAAAAACCAAAAUAAUAAUCUUCUGUUAUAUAAUUUGUUUCUAAGGAUAUGUAUUUCAUUAUUUGAUCUUCUUCAUUUUUAUAUUAAUUAUAACAUUAUAUUGUGCAACCUACGUGCAUGCCACUUAAAUAAACGGUGUAGAUAUUUGUGCUAUCAACAAUUAGGUUAGGCAAAAUCUUUCCAUCAAUACAUUUAUUGCAAAAUAUUUUUAAAAAAAAUCAUAUUUAAUUGGUCAAAUUUUAAUUUUCAAAGAAAAAAGGUUCCUUAAAUAUCAGGAAAACGACUUUUUUGAUAAGAGUACGUAAGAAAAAUAAAUUCCACAAGUGACAUUUCAUGAUGAUUAUCCCCUUCCCACCCCCAACCUUCAUACUAUUUGUCUAUAUUAUAUAUAAAUACUUAUAAGAUAAUAGUUUUCACUUAUUCACAAAAUACCAGAAACUAAAAGUAAGAAAAUCAUUUAUUUUUCGAAAAAAUAUAGUUGAUUUUUUUUUUCCUUCACUCUAAACAAACAUAGCCUCCUCUACCAUUCAAAUUCCAUUCUACAAAAGGAGUAAAUGCAGAAAAGACUUUUGAACUAAAAUAAUGUUCUUUAUAAUGUCUAAUAUGUGUAGGAUAGAGACUAGACAAGGACCUCAAUUGCUAUAUCUAUUAGCUUUUUUUUCAACCUUUUAUCCAAUUAUUCAAAUACCUAACCACAUGUUAUUAUUAAAAAGAGGUCCCAAUUCUAUUGUCCUACGAUACUAUGGCCUAUAUAUAUAUAUAUAAUAUAAUAUAACAUUCAACUUCAUUUUCACCAUUCAUAUGAUUUUCCUAGUAAAUGAAAUUUUGUCAAUUUUGUUGACAAAUGUUUUUUUCUUUUCUUUUGUGUUUGACAAAAUUAACUAGCCUAUGCACAAAUUAGUCAACAUAUAUAUAAUUAUUGUCUUGUCUAGUUAUAAAGAGAUUAAAUUAAGAGCAUAUAUAUAUAUUAUGUUAGAGGCAUUUAAGAAAAUAAUGAAAGAAUACAAAAAAGUUUUAAAUCUUAAUACAAAUAAGAUAAAAGAUCAUUGAAUAAGUGUGAAGAGAGUUUGUUUAAAGAAUAAGUGUUAAGUUGACUACCAUGAACAAUACAUUAAUUUGUUAUUAAAAUAAUUUGUGCUUAAUUUGAUCACAUUUGAGAAUAAUUAGUUGAUUUAAAUUUCAGCUACAUUUACAAAGUUGUGAUGUAGUGUUAGUAUUCAUCCUUUCUUAAUUAUAAAUUUUAAAUGUAAGGCGUGAAAAUGAAAUCUGUUUUAAUCAGGACCGUCUUCUUUUCAAAAUAGUCCACAUAAUUAUUAUUUUUUAAAAAACAGAAAGUAGUUGUUAUUUAAUAAUAGAGAGAAUAUCAUAAUUAUAGUAUUUAAUUGUCAGCUUUAAAUUUCUUAAUGGUUUAUUUAUCCACAUCUUAUACUCUCUCCUAUCAAAUUGUAUCUUUUUUUCUUUUACAUCCCAAAAAGAAUUACAUAUUCUUAUAUAUAACAACAAUUUAUCUUUAAAAUAUUUAAUUUAUUCUUAAUGUUACAAUAUAUAGUCACAUACACACAUAUAUAUCCUGCUCAUCUUUUGUAUCAAGAGUCGAUUAAAAAUAUUCUCUCUACGUUUCACAAUAAAAGGUUCGAAACAUGUUAUUUUUUUCAAAUCUCACUUACAAAUUAUAUUAAAUAUAUUAUUAUUAUUAUUAUUUUAUAUCUGAUCAAAUAUUAUCACAUAAAUUAAUAACUGGCUAACAAAAAUGGAAAAAAGUCAUAAAAGUCAAGAUUUGAAAUAUAGAAUUUUGCAAAUGCUGGUAGACAGGAGGACUGGUAGAAUUUAAUAUUUGCUAACUAACUUAUUUCCACGUACACUUCUAAAAUCUAAAUUUACCACUAAUGAUUUUCAGGUCCACAAUUAUUUUUAAAUUUUCAUUGAAGUCAUUUCUUUUUCUACUAUACGUACGAUAAUGACCCCCCAACAACUCCAAGCCUCACUUAUUUACCCAAAAAUAAUAAUUCUUCAUCCUAAUAAUAUGACUUCAAAAUAAAAUAAAGUUUAGAUUUCAACUAGACAUUUGAUACUUUAAACCAUUAUGUUUAACACCUUUCUAAGGAAGUAAUAAUCUUGUGUGUCCAUUUACUUUGUGUUAGAGUCAACUUUCACAUAUUUUGACUAAUUUCAUGAGAUAUAUGUUAUCUUUUAUCAACAACAUGUAAUAUAUAACUCUAUUCAUCAAAGCUAAUAUAGAUGCAAAUAAGUCUUGUAUGUCCACUUUACGAAUAGAGGAAUGAGAAAGGUCAUAAUUAACUAAAAUAACAUAUAUAAUAAAUUAUAGGGAUAAGAGUCUGAAAAAUACUUCAACUUUGGUCGGAUUUGCUGUUACGAUACUAAACUUUCAUGAGGACCUAUUACUUCUCUAGAGUAUUUGAUACCAUAUUUUAAACAUAUAUAUUUGCCCACGUGGACAUAAAAAAUAAUGCAAAAUUAUAAAUAGUAAUGUGUCCACGUGGGCACAUAUAUACCUUUAAAAUACACUAUUAAAUAGUUCAAGGGGUAAAAAAUACGGUAUUAAAUAGUCUAGGGAGGUAAUAGGUCCUUAUGAAAGUUUAGUAUCGCAACAGCAAAUACGACCAAAGUUGGGAUAUAAUUCAGACAUUUAUCCCUAAAUUAUAAAAUCAAAUCUUUCCAACUUCGUAACUUAAUAUACUCAUGUGAUUUAGAAUAAUUGUUCUACUCGUUUGAGUUGUUUCAAGAAGUCAGAUGUUUUUCUCGAAUCAAAAUGUUUAAUAAUGUGUUUGAUUAUAUUUACUUGUCAGGUUUAUAUGAAAUAUUUAUUCUCACAUAAUAUAAUACCAAUUAGUAGAGCAAUUUAGAAAUAUUAAUUAAACUUAUAUAUCAAAAACAUUAUGUACAAAUGACAAUAGAUUAUCAUAUAUAUCACCAUAUAAAGAAGAGCAAUUUCAGAUUUCCUCAUCAAAAUGGGGAAAAUUACAUUCUCUAUAUAUGUCAUUUUUCUUAAUUUUCCAAAUUUGAACUAAUCUAGUAGAUAUUACUACUACUAUCAUUAAUUGCAUCUGGGUCCACUUUGCUUCUCCAGAUUGUCAUAUAGGCCCCUACAAAAUUAAAAAAGUAGAAAACAGUACCCAUUACUUAUGCUAUUAUCACUUUCAUAUUCAUAUGUUAUAUAUUUUGCAAUUUUAUCAACAAAGAUUGUUGAGUCUCCAAUCCAGUCUAACUUCAUUGGGUCCCACAAAAUGCUGACUUGGCUUGUUGAAUACGAUGACGUGGCUGUUGACCAUAAACGCCGUGACCCGCUCCGAAACCCGAAUAUCCUCCAUCUUCAAUUCCUGCAGUCUCUUCACGUACUCCGGCGCGUGCACCAGAUCCCACACCACCCCAACGCCGCCGGGUUUCAGCACCCUCACCACCUCCCCCAACACCCUCAUCCUCUCCGCCGCCGCUACCGCCGUUUUCUGCCCGAACUCCUUCCCCACCGUGUGUACAAACGCCGCCGACGCCACCACGUCGAAGUAAUUAUCACUGAACGGAAGUUUUCUCGGGUCACCUGACCGGCACGUGACGUACUCCUGAACACCUUCAAUCCCGGCAGUUCGGAGAGUAGAGAGAGAACAAGUCGGUGUUGGAUGUAACCCGACGACCCGACCGGAUGACCCGGAUUUCUUCAGCUGUAGAGCGACGGCGUUGAGGAGGAUCCCACGGCCACAGCCAAGGUCAAGAGCAUGCUUAACGGAAGACCAAUCACCAACGGCGUUCACCAUCCUCUGUGCCAUUUCCCAGUGAAGCGAAACGGAGGAGUAAAAAAUGUUGCCGGCGGCGUAGAAAAGGCAAACGGCGGAGAGUGCAGUGACGGAACCGGUGAAUCCGGCGGCGAAACGAGCUGAGCUUAGGCCAGGUAAGAAAUGGUGGAAGAAAUAGCAGAUAGGUUCGAAAUAAACUAGAAAAAUCACAGACAGUAUAGAGAAGAAGAUAGCAUAAAUUAGCAGAAAUAUCGGGGUUUGCCAAUCAUCAACACCGUAAAUUGAAUAGAUCUGUCCCCAAUCUCUACCAGCUUUCCCCAUUCUUAGCUUAAUUAACAAUUCGCCAUAGAAACUUCAAAAAUCUGCAAAAAUCUGUUAAAAAAAAAAAAAACCAUUAACAUUUCUGUCACUAUAAACCAAAAAGAAUAGAAAACGAACAAACAAACAGUGAUUAACAGCAACGUACGGUGAUUUUAUCAGAUCCCGAAGCAAUUAGACAAAGAGUUAGUAUACAGCACGAUGUCAGAUUUUCAAAUUCUGAUGGAUGAAAUGAGUAUUAAUAAUGGUGAUGUAAUGCCGCGUUUGUUUGUUUGAUUGAUUCGUCAGAUAAUGGAGAGUGCUCUUUUGAUGAACAAGUUGUUACCAGUGCCCAGUGCUGUGUGGGGUUUGUUCUAAUUCAUACUGUAUUUAUAUAUGCACAAACGCAGAGUUGUUGGGUAUGGAUCGGGUCGGAUAGAGAUGGAGUUAUAAUAUUAAGUAUGCAUUUAAUAUAUUUUUUGCUUAGAUCUUAUAUGUAUUUACUAUGAAAUAGCCGGAGUAUUUGCUUAGAUCUAGUAUUUAAUACUAUGAAAUAGGCGGAGUUAAAGAUUUUGAAUUUACAAGUUCUGAAAAAUUAAAAUAUAUUUCAUUAUUUCAAUUUGUUUGUCUUAUUUCCUUUUAAUUGGUUUAGAAAAUUAAUGUUUUUUUUUCUUGUUUUGACUUUUUGACAACUUUUUAAUCUUAAUUUUUAAUAUCAUGAAAAUUAAAAUACAUGCAAUAAUGUAUCUUUAAUGUAAGACCAGAACAAUUAAAUUAAAACGAAGGGAGGUUAAAAAUAAUUAUUAUUACAUUUAAGUAGAUCUUUAAACAUAAAUAUAAAAUAUCAAUUAAAAUUAUUGAGUUUAGUCAAACAUGUAGAAAACAAUUAAUAUUACAUGUAAGUAGAUUUAAAAACAUAAAUAUAGAAUCUAAAUUAUAAUUAUUGAGUUUUGUUGAAUAUAUAGAGAAUAAUUAUUAUUACAUGUAAGUAGAUUUAAUAAAACAUAAAUAUAAAAUCUCAGGUAAAAUUAUUGAGUUUAGUCAAACAUGUAGAAAAUAAUUACUAUUACAUGUAAGUAGAUUUAAAAACAUAAAUAUAGAAUCUAAAUUAUAAUUAUUGAGUUUUACCGAAUAUAUAGAGAAUAAUUAUUAUUACAUGUAAGUAGAUUUAAUAAAACAUAAAUAUAAAAUCUCAGGUAAAAUUAUUGAGUUUAGUCAAACAUGUAGAAAAUAAUUACUAUUACAUGUAAGUAGAUUUAAAAACAUAAAUAUAGAAUCUAAAUUAUAAUUAUUGAGUUUUGUUGAAUAUAUAGAGAAUAAUUAUUAUUAUAUGUAAGUAGAUUUAAAGACAUAAAUAUAAAAUCUUAGUUAAAAUUAUUGAGUUUUACCGAAUAUGUAGAAGGAGUUUAGUUCCAUCACCACUAUUGAGAAAUCUAGUGGGUGAUAUAUAUUUAUAUAAAUAUCCAAUUAAAAACUUGAUAAUUAAAAUGACUCAAAUAAUAAAUUUCAAAUUUUGAUUACGCCAUUUAGAAGAUGGUGGGGCAGGAAUAUUGAAAAAAUAGACAAAUUAAGUGACUAACUCCAUAGUUUUAACAAGAGUCGUCCAUAUGGAGGUGUUGGAUUUGAUCUUUACACUAUCCAAAAUCAAUUCCCUAAAGGCCUGCCUCCUCCUUUUUUUUCUUUUUUAUUUUAUAUAUAUAAAAUAUAUAUCAAACGUAACUUUAUUUUUUUCUUAAAUAUUAUUGAAUCGAAUUCACCCUAUUACUAAUGCUAGUUAACUUGUAUGUCCAUUAAUUAGUCCAAAACGGCAAGUAUUUUGAGUAGAAAAGAUCACUUUUCAUGCUUUGUGUUGUGGACGUUCAUAUCAUAAGAAUUUUCAACGAAAAGGAGUUAAUUUGUAUCGUGAGAGUUUUUCACGUAUCGAUAAAUGAUAAAUCAUGAUUGCAUUAGAUUCAUUUUAGCAAAUGUUUUUUACUAUAGAAAAAUAAAUUUGUAGAAUUUAUGUAGUUAUCUGUCAAUUUUUACUUUUUUGAAAAAGAAAAAUAUCGAACGUCCAAAUUCACACUGAUAAUUUAUGGGACCCAUGUACUACAAAUCAUGUACUAAUUCUUUUUUCUUUAAAAAAAAGAAAGAGUAACUAUGUUUAAAUGUAGGUAAAGUUUCAAUGUUCAACUGCUAUAAAUAUAAAAGAAAAAAAAAAGUAAAGACAUCUGUUCACGUAAUAAUUAGGGGUAAUGAAAGCCUAAUUCAAAGUAAUAUAUAUAGUUUUAACUUAAAUAUUAUAAGUUAGAAUUUUAACUCGCAUAUUGUAAUUUAAAAUUUUAGUUGAAUUCAGUGUUCAUCAGAAAUAAUCAAUUUAUCUUCAUAAUAUAAGACAUUUUUUUAUCAGAUAUCUGAUAUUUAUAUUGAAGUCUGACUAAUUCAGAUUUGUGUUGCAUAGGGCCUCAUUUACUCAAAGUUCGAACCCAAAACUUCUAAUUAAAGGAGGAACAAUCUCAUCCAUUACGCACUAUCUUUUCUUGACUAUAGAAUUUGUAUUUACAUGUUUUAUCGUGUUAUGGUAUAUUAUAUUAUUAUUAGCAUACUAAUAAAAUGUUGUUAGCAAUUAGUCAAAAUCAA
rnacentral:lncRNA from 1 species